rnacentral:lncRNA from 1 species
AUUAAAGCCUCUCCGGUAUCUGACACAAGUCAGAAUUUCCACUGUUCCAGCUGAGCUUUUAUGAGGAGCAGACUUGAGAGAAACUGCCAAGAUUUUCUGGAGUACACAGGGCACACGGCCAGCUGAACACCCGCUUCCCCCACUCGCUGCUGCUGGGAAGAGAGCAAUGGACUCCGAAUACCUUCCAGCCGAAAGUCGUCCUCCUCUUCCUCGCUGAGCGUGUCUCUCAACACGUCGCCCACGAGCUCCUACAAGAAGACAGAGCAGAGGCAUUGAGCAGGGGUUGGGGGAGCCCAGUGCUGGGACGUUAAAAGCAGUGCCAUGAGGACCCUGGGCUGAUUCUUCUGAUUGGAAUUCAGGUCAACUGAGGCAGAUCCUAUUGCACCUGAAAAGUUAAGUGCCAAGGUGGGUCCCUCCUGCCCUUAACAUAAACCCACACGCAUCAGCACAACAUUCAGGCCACCACAGGCUAUGGCUCCACUGGGUCUUCCAUCAUGCCUCCCACAUUUCACCAACACACAUGCCUUCCGGAAACCAGCCUGAUUCCUUGCACACACCCUGCCUGUUCCCCACCAGUGAGUUAAGGAUAUCUGGGAUCUCAUCCCAACCAACCUGACCAGGAGAUGUCAAGUUAGCGAGGGGAGUGUUGCUGGUCCACAGGCUGGGAAAUUUCUAGGAUGUCAACAAAGGCCCCAUCUGUCUGACCCACCCUAGCAGGAUAACUCCAAAUAUGGAAGAAGCUAGACCAUACCUUGUCAAACUGUCUUCUGUAUUUAUUGGUAUUCUGCCAGAAGAGUUCUAUGAUCAAAGAAGAUUCUUUUAAACAAAGUUAAACAAGAUCUCUUACAGCAGGACUUAUCAGGACUUUUCCUAUGGUUCUAAACACUGAAUCUCCAAGUGCUGGCAUAUUUUGCAUUCUCCAAACUUAUUUAGACCAUGGAGCUUCGUUUUUCAAAAGUAUCACAUGAUACGCGUGUCCCAAGAAACCCACUUUAGGAAAUACUCCUGUUAUGGGAGGACAGACAAGGGUUUGGGGGAUGAUGAUGCUAUGGUAGCGGUUCUCAAAACACAAAAUGACAAGCAAUAAAAAAGCCCAAACUCAGCAGCUGUCACCAACUUCUCUUUGUGAAAAUAAAAGAGAAAAAAAACAAAAACAAAAACAAAACCCAACCCUCUCCUUAGGGGAAAAAAAAUUCUACACCUCAGAUGAUGCUUAAAAAAAAACCAGUCCUCUUCUUGAUGAACAAAAGAAAAAACACGGCUUUGUAUUGCUGAUCUCAUCAACUGGACACAGCUGGAGGUAAGCCUCUUGCUUUUUUUUGUUUUUUGUUUUAAAGACAAACAGCUAACAUUUUGUGGCUGUUCUCUUUCUUCUUUCAAAUCUUUCUAGGGCAUUACACACUCUUUCUUAAAAGCUGUUAAAAUGUGGCCAUUCAGACUCCGGUGUCCCAUUUACUUCAAAACCAGGCUACUUUAUUCCUCGAGUCAGGAUGGCUUCCUCUCCUCCUCCACCAAUUAUUAUAAUCAUCGAACAUAUCCUGGGCUUGUAAACUGGCUGUUUGUGUUAACAGAGCCCGAGUUGACAGGGGAGCUGGGAGACGAUGACAGGAAAGGGAUGCACACAGGUGGCAUCAUUAGAUGGCUGGGACGCCCCAGCAGCCAAUUGAAGCCCAUCUUUCAUGCAGAAGAGAGACGGGUGCCACCGCCCCCUGAAAGGCUGGUAGGCAGAGCUUCCCCGAGGGAACAGGCAACAGUCUUCAAGAGAAUCUGCGCACCUCUUCAUGCUGAGGUCUUCUGCAGAGCGGGGCUCUGCGCCUGCCACCCUGACUGCACUGCAGCCGGGUGACAGCAUCAAUGAGACGUCUGAGUACUCGUGUCUUUUUACUGGCACACUUGGAAGAGUUUAAAGACUCCAGACAUCGCCACCAACAAGGCAGCCGUGUGGGACCCUAUGACAAUGACCGCAUGUGCUCAAGGCACCCCAGUCACCACCUAAUGACAGCUUCAGCACUCCCUGCUCGGAGAACCAAGCUCUCUGACACACUCAGAAAGCAGAGUUCUGGCAAGUUCUGGCAUAGGCCUCUCACCACUCAACAGUACCCUGCUCUGGAGAACACUGGAAAGCUCCCCGGAGCCAUGGUUCAUGGACGCACUGUACUGUGCCAAUGCUCAACUUUGCAAAAAUUCAUCUCCCCAGCCAGGCGCAGUGGCUCACGCCUGUAAUCCUAGCACUUCGGGAGGCCGAGGCAGGUGGAUCACGAGGUCAGGCAACCUGGCCAACAUAAUGAAACCCCAUCUCUGCUAAAAAUACAAAAAAUUAGCCAGGCGUAGUGGCAGGUGACUGUAAUCCCAACUACUUGGGGGGCUGAGGCAGAAGAAUCGCUUGAAACUGGGAGGUGGAGGCUGUGGUGAGCUGAGAUUGCGCCACUGCACUCCAGCCCAGGUGACAGUGUGAGACUCUGUCUCAAAAAAAAAAAAAAAAAUUCAUCUCCCCCACUGAGCCACACGGCCCAGGGUCUGUGGCGUGCAGCGUGCAUGUUCCUAGAGCUUUGAGUCUCUAGGCCAGAAGCCACGCGGGAUGUUGAGCCAAACACAGAAUCACAUGCUGGCUGUACCGCCUGCCUCGCCUUUGGACCUCAGCCUACUUAUUUGUAAAAUGGGCACAGUCAUCAACCAUAAUAAUAAUCAAACAGCUGACACUUACUGUGCAUUUUCCAUGUGUCAGGCACGAUGCUAGGCACUUUAUAGUCAUUCCUCAGUACCUGUGGGCGACUGGUUCCAAAACUCCCUGAGGCUAUCAAAAUCUGUAGAUGCUCAAGUCCCUUAUAUAAAUGGUGUAGUAUUUGCAUAUAAACUACAAACAUCCUGCCCUAUACUUUAAAUCACCUCUAGAUUACUUACAAUACCUAACACAGUGUAAAUGCUAUGGAGAUGGUUGUUAAACUGUAUUGCUUAGGGAAUAAGGACAAGAAAAGUCUGUAUGUGUUCAGUACGGAUGCUUUUUUGUUUCCAAAUAUUUUCUAUCUAUGGUUGGCUGAAUCAACAAAUACAUAGCCCAUGGAUAAGGAGGGCCAACUGUGUAAGCGUGUAUUUAUUAGCCCCCUGAAUCAUCACAACAGCCCUGGUCUUUCCAUCUUUCAAGAAAUAGAUGCUUAUUAAAAUGAUUUGCAAAUUGUAAAGCGAGAGGUAUAAUCAUUACUGUUAUUUUCUACAAAGAAAGUGGCCUCAACCCUGAAGUACUGUAUGAGACCAGAAACAGUUCUAAUGACAGUCACCCGUCAUCUACCAAGUGCUCACAGUGUACGAGGUGCUGACCAAUGGGAUCUUCACGGGAGACUCUGGAGAAUGGCCUCCCCACAGCCCUGCAUCUAAGUGGCUAGGAGGCUCCAAGAGGCUGUGAGACCCCCUUUGGAUCACCUGCCAGCAAGGGGCGGAGCGGGGACUUGAGCCAGCUCCUUCAGAUGCCUCAGCCCGGGCUCCUACUCAUGCAACCAGGGCUCCUGUGGGCAUGGGAGCAGAGGUGGUCAGGAGUCCUGGCACCUACCAGGGACCAAGGAUCACACCUAAAGGAGUGCAAGAAAAAUAGCCCAGCUGGCAGCUCUAGUGGGCUCGGGAACAUUCUCACAUUCCAUCCUAAUGCCUGGCGAGCCAGUGCCUCAAUGUCCACCCUGGGACGAUGCUCACAUGUGUGUCCAGGAGGCACAUUCGAAUCCAGUGAUGUUUAGGGCAAUGCACUUCCUGUUAACCUGCAGUCAGGAACACCCUGGAUGCCCUCAAAGGCAUGUGGGCUGGAUCUCUGCAGAGGAGUGCCACACGAGAGGGACGCCAACAGAACAAGACAGACCUGCAGAUCUCCCGGGCAGAGGGCCAGACCACAGGACAGGCAAAGGAGCCCUCACAGGAAGACACGCAGACUGUGCUGCUACCUGUACACAGAGGAGAGCACCAAACCCAUGUAUGCCAUGAGAUUGUCCCCGUGUGGGUGAACAUGCGGAAGACGACAGCCACGGUGACUUCCAGAGAGGGGAGGGCAGACAGAGGCAGAGGGUGUGGGGGGGGUCAUAAACCCCAGCCUUAUCAGAAGUGUUCUCAUGUUUAACUGAUGAGUAUAUUACUUGGGUAAUUAAAACCCAAUUUAGUAAAACUGCAGAUAAUAACCCACUUUACAAAAGAAAACAAAAGCUGGGAGAUUAAGUAACAAGUCCAAGGUUUCAUGGAAAGCAACAGAGUCAGGUAGCCCCCUCCAGGCCUCGGCCCCCUCGUCUCUAGAAUAGGGAGGCCAGACAAGAUGAUGCUCACAGUUCCCUGGAGCACAGACCUUCUGGGGUUCCAGCCCGCAUCCCAUCAAUGGGCAGAUCUCUUCUCUAGGGCUAUACCCAGGAAACAAGAGGAAGACCGGGGCUGUCCAUUUUCUGGGCCUCAAGUUCUAUGUCUCUCACAUAUACCUCUCCCCUGCGGACCUGUUAUCUCUGCCCACACAGCCUCCCUCUCAUUCCCAGGCCCCCAGGGCUUUCCUGGGCCUCCAGAGCCCACUCUGCCUACAAGCUCGGCAGGCUGAAAGUGCUAGGAAAUUACCCAGCCCAUCCCAACACUAUACAACAUGCAGGCCAGUGAUACAAAAAUAAUCCUCAUCAAAGGGCAGAGAGAUGGAAAGAGGGCAUGGCAGGCAGCCUUUUGAGAGGGCUCCUGGAGGCCUGGACCCAGGGAUGGGAGAGGCUGGGGGCAUCCUCCUCCCCAGGAGAGGAAAACAGACCCGCCCCUCCUUGCCUGGGUCAUCAGAACCCAGGCCUCAACAUGCUGCUUCCAAAGAUAAAUGGCAUCUCUUUCCAAAGGAGCCAAAAUAUAGGGCAGAGUCCUCAGCCACUCCCCUGAAGACCCCUGAGCCCACCACAGCCACAGGUCACCUGGUGGUGGCUCCUGGCUCUGCCCACCAGGCCUGUCCCCUGGAUGCAGCCAAGCCAAUUGGAACCCUCUCCUGGGACCCCUCCCUCGGGAGCUGACGGGGACGAGCUCUUCUCUGGUGCCAAGGCUGCAUCUCAUCUCAUCGGCAGCUUCUCAGAGACAGCUCACUCAAGGAGGCAGCUCACACAGAGACAGAGGCCAGUACUGGGACCAGCCUCAGGCCCAGCCUUCUCCAGAAGGAGGCUGCCUGUGGGCAGGACUCUGGGUCUGUUUUGCCCUCAAACAGCGCCUGGUACCACGCAGGCACUCGAAAAAGUGUCUGUUCGGUGAACCCUGGGGCAGGCCCACCCUAACCCGCCCUUCCUACCGAUGGGACGGUCACAGAAGCCACUAAACGGCCUUUGCUGCUUCCAGCAAUUCAGGUUGGGUUUCCGUUACUUGCAACUAAAAGCUCUGACUCCCACAGCUCCCAGAAGCAAUCCACAGCCUCCUCAAAGCUAAAUCCAGGAUUCCCAGGCAAGCUUGGGAGCCAGUGGAGCGAGCUCCUGCUGCCCUGCUGUAUCGCGGGCCCCUGCAGGAGCUUCACCCGCAGACUCCACUCAGAGCUGCGGAGGCUGAGGCGAGAGGGAAGACAGGCUCCUGGGGCUGCACACACAGACCAGGCCUUUUGUAUUUGGCCUGCAAGGACCAGGCCUUCAAGACGCCAAAGACAUUGAGCAGCAAUUAAAAUUCCUCAGAUUUCUCCUGGACUAUUUUUAUCUGCCCAAGAUGCAAUCGACAUGCUCCUAACUGUAGAUCCCCGGCCUUCAGCUCCCCACAUCCUGGGGACCCCAGCCUGAGCCUGCUUCCUGGGCUUGAGAGUUUGCACAGGGAAGGUGGACAGCCAGCAAGGAGUGGGACGGCAGGGCUGGCAGGAAGGACUUCAGACCCUGGGCCUGACUCUGAAACCACCAUACUCCCUUCCUCCAGCCCUCAGGCCUGAGACCCGACAGGGUACUCAUAAUCCCUAGAGACGGGUUGCCCAAUCCUGAACCUCAGCCAGCCUCAGUCACCAAAGGGCCAGCAAAGGCCACUUCCUGGGCUGUCACACCAGCAAGUCGCAGGCAUCCACAUGCCAUGGUCGCGCCUUCCUCCAGAGCCAUGUCUCUGGGCUACCAUGAGUACUUAAAUGCUUCUCUUUAAAUUGGCUCUCUCUCUCUUUUUAACCUAGUCUUGCCAUAAAGCAAUAAGAUCAAUAAAAUCACAGGUGUUGGGGGCCUUGGUUUGGUUUGGUUUGGUUCUUAGAUGGGGGUCUCACUCUGUCCCCCAGGAUGGAGUGCAGUCGCAUGAUCACAGCUCACUGCAGCCUCCAACUCCUGGGCUCAAGUGACUCUCCUGAGUAUCUGCGACUCCCACCGACACAGGCCACCGUACCCAGCUAAUUUUUUAAAACUUUUUGUAGAGACACAGUCUCGCUAUGUUGUCCAGGUUAGGUGUUUUUUGUUGUUUGUUUGUUUGUUUGUUUUGUUUUGUUUUUUUAAGGACAAUUCAUAUUGAACAAAUUCAGAAUCAUUAAAAUAUAAGACACCCACCACUUGCCCCUCCAACCCCUCAAUAGGACAUCAACCAUUGAACCAUGCUUUCGGAAAGACAGGAUUUAAAGAACCUACCCCCUGGCCCCCACAGUGGUCAGGCUGGUUCCAAUAAGUAGGAAGACGGUGGGUGGGGGAGAGACACCAGACAAGGUGGGCACCAGGAGAUGCCACCAACCUUCCCACCUGGCCACCCUCCUUGAAGACUCAUGGCUUCAGUGUGAUUUCUGAGCAUGGAGAAAAAAUGACUAAUGGGGGAAAAAAAACCCAAAACACCAACACCAACAACAGAAAAGAGUAAAUCUUGACAUCACCCAGAAUGCUCCCUGAUCUCAAACUGCUGGCAUUUCAGAGCCCUUAAGAGAUGAACCAAUGUAGGGCCAAUUGCCCAGAGCCAGGCAGGGCACGGGGUGGGGAGACUUUGCUGUUUGUCUGACCACAAUUUUCCGACUAGACAGUGUUCAAAGGCAUUUCUACAGUGGAAACUGGGAUCUGAUGGGCAUGUUGGGGCCUGGGGGUAACUGAGGUCAUGAAUAUAAAGGACUCAGUGAUGAUGAUAACCAGUCUUAGUCAGUGUGCGACAUCUGCCAAGUGUUCCAUGAAGCACGUUAGGGGCAUCACCGACCAAGUGCUCCCAGCAGCCCUAGAAGCUGGGCUCUGCGAUGACCCCCACUUUGGCCAUGAGGAAACUGAGGCUUAGAGAGGUUAAGUGACUCACUCGAGUUGUCAGUCAGGUCUGGGUUUGAGCCUUGGUUCUUCUGCUUUUAUACUGUGUGACUUUGUACAAAUGAGUCUACCUGACUAUGCCUCAGUUUCCCCAGCUGAAAGUGGAAAUGACAGCCCCCACCUGGCAGGGCAGUUGUGAGAGGAAUGGAGAGUAUGUGUACAGUGCUUGGUGAGUGGCCUGGCUCAAAUAGCGUGUCCCAAGUCACAGCUGUCACCUCCUUCUCCCUCCGGGCCCUGGUCUUUCAUUCUCUUCCCUCACAUGCUCUCUUCUGCCCUGGUUUUUGUCAGGGAUGCCACAGCGGAUCAAAGCCCAGCCCAGCACUGCCUCAUCACCCCAGAAGGCCUCAGGCGACCCCACUUCUGGCCGGCUGCAGAGAGCAGAGAGAGUGCACUCAGCGCUUGUCGGAGUCUCUGCCCUCCCACCCACUGCUGACCACACACACACGGCCUUCCCACCCACCACUGACCUCUCUAAGCCACUGCCCACCACACCACUGACCCCACCACACCACUGAUCCUGCCCCACCACUGCCCACCACACCACUGACCCCACCACACCACUGAUCCUGCCCCACCACUGCCCGCCACACCACUGAACAUUGCACCACUGACUCUACCAUGCCACUGCACAUCGCACCACUGAUCCUGCCACACCACUGCCCACCACACCACUGGCCCCACCAUGCCACCACCUGCCACACUGCUGACUAGCCCAGCCACUGGCCCGCCACGCCACACAGCCGAGUGCUGAUAAGAGGAGAGGCCCGAGGGCCUGUGGCGUGCCUCUGAUCACCAAGCAGCUGGGGCGGCAUCUGCCAGCAGUUCCUGGCCCUGGGACAGGCCCCCGGUCUGCUGCCAGGGUCUAGCACGUGUGACCUGCCGACAGGGUGGCCCUGAGCCAGGCUGCUUAUGACAGGCAGCACUGUCAUCUGGCCCCAAGGAAGGGUGCCCCAUAGCCAUAGGCCACCUCACUGUGGGGAAAGGAUGUGUGCUCCUGCCCAGGGAAGGGGCUUGGGGACCCAAGAAGCCUGGAAUUUCUUGCUCAGCCUCAGGAAUGAAGGGCUUGAGCUUCUUGCUUUUCUGAACCUAAACGAAACAGAUGAAGUAAGAGCCUCUUGAUUCCUAUACCCUGAGGCCUCAUUUUACGGACAGGACAAGAGUGUCCAUGAGCACAGGUGUGCGCGCACACACACACACACACACACACACACACACACAGAGUCCACCCAUGCGGCCCUGCAGUGCCCUGGAGAAACCAUCUUGCAGAAGCCAUGCUCCUACCCACUCUGAUCCCAUCAGCCCUGGGCCUCCCACUCUCAUCUCCUGGCCCCUUCUGUCCCCUUGUCCCCAAAAUAGCUCUAAGAAACUUGUCACCAUCCCUCUCACAGGCCAGACCGCCCACUUGGAGCCUCCCAGCCCUGGACCAUCCUGUCCCCUUCACCCGGAGCGCCCUCCUCCCUCUACUGCCAGUGAAGUCUUUUGCCUCCUCCGGAGCCACUGUGGAUUUCGACUUCCCACCAUCCCCAACCACCAGAUGAGGACAUAAUCAAGAGGGUCACACUGGCGGCUUCCAGAGGACUCGGUUCAUUCUGAAACUCAGCAGUUCGCAUGCUGCCAGGGCUGUGAUCGAAAGCCUCAGUGGCCACAUCUAUAAAAUGAGGGCACCAAUCCCACCCGCCUGCCACGCAGCAGUGCACGAUGAUCACACCAAAGGUGGGUGUGGAAAAGCCGAGAAGGUGAGAGGGGCCAUUUGGGAAUGAGGGCCCAGGGUCCACAGUGCUGUCAGAUAGGAAGCUGCUGAGGAGCAGCCUAGUCCGCUCCUGUGCUGUUGAUAAACAAAAAGGUGCGUUUUCCAGAAUGUUUCUGGAAGGCCACGCUCCACUUCAGAAAUGGGAACUGGGGCGCUGUCUCCUUCAGCUGUCUGAUUUUCUGGGUGAUUUGAAUUUUAUAUUUAUAUUCUCUCUUUUUAAACCAAGAACAUUCAACCCUUUUAUACUGAAAAAAAUAAUAAUAACUUUUUCCAAAGCGGUUUUUCCAUUAAAACAAAUGAUGUGGCUCUCCCUCCUGUUUGAUGUCACCAAGUUGCUCAACAGGCACCUCAAACUUCAUGUGUCCAAACCGGACGCCUGGCGGCCCCCAAACCUGUCCUCCCCAGUGCCUUCCCUGUGUACACAGGGCAGCUCCCUGCUUCCUUCACUCUGGCCAGACACCCCAGAGGCUUCCGCACAUCCUGUUGGCUCUCCCUCAAAACACACCCUGAAACCAAUCAUUGCCACCUCCUCCACUUCUGCCACGCAUUCCAGGCCACAGUCCUCUUGAAUAAUGACAACCAUUUUCUAUUCUCUGCCCUCGUCGCCACCCCAACCCCUACCCAAUUCCCCAAAGUCCCACCAAAGCCCAUCAAAGCCCCACCCAAUUUGUCUGCCCUAUCACCUCCCUCACCCCUUCUGUUCCUCCCCAUUCACCCGCUCGCCCACAGCCACACAGGCGUCCUUGCUGUUUCUCCAACAGGUUCAGCUCAUUCCCCAUUCAGGGUCUUCACACACGCUGUUCCCUCUACCCGGAAGACUCUUCCUCUGGAUAACCCCUCCCUCCUGCCCCUCCUUCAGGUUUGGGUUCAUUAUCACCUUGUCACCUAGGUGAGGUCUUCCCAAAUCUCUUUAUUUAAAACUGCAGCCCCCUCUCCCACAAUCCCUUAUUUAUCUCUGGGGCAUUCCCACCAUCUGACACAUUAUGUAUCAACGCCUGACGGCGGAGGCACUCGACCAGCGUGUGUUGAACCACCAAAUGCAGCUCUGUAUUUACUGACUCAGAAAAACACGCCCUGCAUUUUCUUGAAAGAAAAAAGUAGUUGCCAAACAGCAGAGAAAAUGUGAUUACAUUUCCUAACAUUAUCUGCACGUGUUUCCACGCGCUGUAGUAGGAGGCACACGUCUGCAGAGACGGGCACCAAAAUGCUCCCAGAAAUGGUGCCCGGUGCUGGAUUCCAGGUCACCCAAUGGUCUUCCAUGAACACACAUGAUUACUUCUACAAUCAGAAAUUACAGCAAAGUGUUUUGAAGGAAAAAAAAAAUGCUAAAACAUACAAAAAUGGGCACCCAAGUUGGUUCUAGAAAGACUCACACUCAGAAGUCUGCUAAAAGGGUCUUGGCCCUAGCAGUGGCAAGACCUACAGCAUUCUGGUGAAAUGGGUGGCCUCCUGAUUCCAGCUGGGAGGGAAGGUGGAGACUCCAGACUUUGGUCCACCCAGACCCCAUUGCUCCCUUCCACAGCCACACAGUGCACCCAGGCCACAAAGAGGCCACAGCCACACCCAUGCCUGCUUCUCACUGCUCUCACUGUACAUGCAUAGGAAGCCAGGGGCUGUGUAAUGCAGACAGCGCUUUGAUUCCAGAAAUGGCAUGAGACCAGCUGAGCAUGCAAGCCAGGCUGUCAUCGGGGGCUCAGGGGGAGCAGGGUGGCACUCUCUCCUGCCCAUCCCAACCAGCACACACCAAAUUUUGCUGUUGCCAUUCUCAGGCAACCAAAGAUCUCAAAGCAAAAAGUAUGGGGAUCUAGAAGGCCACUGCCUGCCCCUGCAGGUCCAGUCAACAGCCCACAUCAGGGGCCCGUGUCACCACAGGGUGGUCACCUGGGAAGCCAGUGAGGUCUGGGAGAGUCCGUAUGGUCAGCAUGGAAGGUUUGAGGCCACUCUUGGGCCUGGGGAUAAGAAGGUCUUCAUGGCAGUGACUCCACCCAUCACACCUGUACCUCACCCAUCACACUUGUACCUCACCCAACAACCCCAGGAGGUCCACGUGUGAGCUAUUGCUGUUUUUACAGAUGGGGAGACUUAGAGUCAUAGGGGAGGCAAGAGAGUGGUAAGGCUGGGAGAAACGGAGCACUCCCGAGAGGAAGGCCAGGGCUCUCAGGACAUGCCCCUGGGUGUUCCUGGAUCUGGAAGAGAGGCCUCUGCUGUCUGAGCCCCACAUUUCCACCAGGACCACCAGCAUCAGGCCAGGCCAGAGCCUUUGUUCAGAGGUUCUGACCUGCAAGAAGGACCCAGCCCCUCUGAGAAUGUCCCCCUAGAAAAAUGCCAUGCAAAGAAAAUUGCACAUUGAAUUUCAGGGGGUUCAUGAACCUCCCCACUACAAGUCCUUUUGUGAAUUUUAGUUUAGGAACCUCUGAGAGUCCAGAUGGGGAAACUAAGGGCUCAAAAAGGGACAGGACUUACCCAGGGUCACAAAGCCAAAGAGGAGCAGAGCCAGGAUCCGAAUAUAGAGGACCCACAGCUGGUAGCAAAGAACCAGCGAGCGAUGAGUUCCCUCGGGGAGCAGAGGCACAGGACAAGAGCCCCCACACACCCUGACUGCCAAGGGCUGGAGCACCCAGACCAACAAGCCCACCUUUGGACGGUUUCUCCACAAGCACUGUCUCAGGCAACCAAACAUUUCAAAGGAAAACGUAGUGGGUCCAGGCAUGGGGGCCCAGGACGUUUGGGGAAUGCUGCGUGGACUUCUCAAGCCUUUCCAGACCACCUGUAGCAGGCCUCCCACGAGGUGCUCACAGAUCAGGGGUCUCCUUACUUCUUUAGACCCUUUGAUAGCAGUCCACCUCCCCAGGGCACCGUGUGCACGUGCAGAUCCCCCCGGGUCUGUGUGCCCCCCUCCCUUCCCUAUGUGCUCCCCACCAGCAGCUCACACCUGGGGGCCCUCUUCAGAGGCCUGCCCUAGGGCUAUGUCUGCAGACUCAGAGAACUGCCGUGUCCCCACCCCAGGUGGCCCUGAGCCUGGUGCAGGAGAAUGAAAGCCCAUACCUCCUGUCACGACAAACUCAGAAGCAUAAUUUAUACCCCAGAGCUCCCCCAGAGGGUCAGACUGAAGCCAAGACUUUGCCUGAAAUGGCACCUGUGCUUGGCUUCUUCCUCUUGUCUGUCCUGCUUCCUCCACUGCCUCACUGGCCUGCCCUGCCCUGGGACAGUGUCCUGAGUGAAUCACUAGCACGUGACCCUCACCUCAGGCUCUGUUUCUGCAGUCCCUGACCUCACAGGGCUCUCCCCUGAACUACGCGGGUAGUUGGAGGAAUCCUGACCCACUUGGUGAAUUCACAGGGAGUAGGCAGGCCAAUGAAUUGCAAGCUGGUUGGUCUCAGACAAAGCAGGUGGAACAUCAGUCCAGCCCAGAAAGGCAAUGGUCACACUGUGGCCAAUCCAGCUACGUGAGAGGCCAGGGACCCUGAUGCCAGGGCUCAGGCCUGAGAGGCAGAAAAAUGGAAAUGGACAUUUUCUUCCCACCCCACCCCACCCCAUGCCAGCCCCACUUCAGGAAACCCCCUCCCCAUCUUUCAGAGCCUAAUUCAAGUGCAAGAAGCUUGUUCUAAGCACCUUGUGCCCCAGGAACCUCUCUCAUUCAGCCAGCGCGUUUCAGGCUGGCUUCACAGACUGUAAGUUUGGGAGGAAGCCGAGGCUGUAGGAAGCUCUUUGUCCCUCAUCUGGCUCCUGCAGUGGGCAUCUGAAAUUCAGAAGCCCCUGGUCUCCAGCGCCCCCUUCCUCCUUCUUCUGGGAACACUUUGAUUUUCCCUGGCGGCUUUCUAGACCUCACAAAUAAAAACAUAGGACAUUCAGUUAAGUUUGAAUAUCAGAUAACAGAUCACUGUGUAGCAUAAGUAUGUCCCAUGUAGUAUUUGGGAUAGACUUAAAACACAAAAAAAUGAAGUGCUAUUUAUCUGAAAUUCAAAUUUAACUGUGUGUCCUAUAUUUUAUCUGGAAACCCUGCCCCUCCAUUCCUCUCACCCACAUGGUGUGGGCAGGCUGAUUUCUCCCCGUAACCACCAGGGAGGGCACAUGACCCAGGCCUGCCCAGUAAGAGCUUCGCACCACGCCAGCCAUGGGGACUGGUCAGGGCCGGGCACACAACCCAAGCUAUGCCAAGGAGAGGCAACCCCAGGACAUCUUCUUUCUCUCUGUUGACUUUGGUGAGAUGUGAGCUGAGAGCCUGACCCUACUGAGAGCACUUUACCACCUCACAGAGAAAUUCUAGCUAUGAAAAAAGCUAAUACCCAGGAAAACAGAGCCACGAGGGGAUGCAAAAGGGGUCCUGACAUCAUUUGAGCCCCUGGAUCAAAUGGUGCCUGAAGCUAGUACCUCCCCUACAUUUUUCAAUGACGUGGACCACAAAAUCUCCCCUUUUGGCUUAAGCCAGGGUGAGCUUAUUCUCCUCAUAAGCCAGUGAGUGAGUCCUGCUCACUCGCUCCUCCUCACCCUUGCCACCUGGGCAUGAGGCUGGGCAGAGUCUAUGCUCAGAGAACAUGUUUAAUUUCACUAAGGAGGAUGGUGUGGGGCGAUGGGAGAGCCUGAGCUCUCCAGUCAAGCAGGCACAGUUCCCGGCCCCACUCGGUUCCAUCCUCGUUCCAAGUCCUUGCACAACAAACUCUCCAUGAGCCUUGGUUUCCCUAUUUGUGAGAUAAACAUAGGUACUUAUACCUGGACUGCCCAUAUAAUGCUAGUGCCUUAACCAGGACACUUUAGAGAGACAAAGGGAGUGCUGUUCAUACCCAGGUUGGGAGAGACUGGAACUGCCCUGGGUAAAGGGACCAGGGAUGCCGUCCCUACAACUGACCCUGCCUGUCUCCACCCGCUUCUGCACUAGCCCUCCCCCACAGCCCAUGCCUUCAAUUCCGCCCCCUCCCCCUCCCCAUCACCACCCUCUGUGCAGGAUGCUCCCCUACUCGCUGCUUCUCGCUGCCUCCUAAUUCAUUCUUCCAGUCUCAGAGAAGCCAUCCCUGGAGCCCCGGGCUCUGUGCGGGCCCCACUCUGCAUCCUCCUUGCAGCCUUUGGCGCUCUGUGAGACAACUACUUGUGGCUUGCAGGCUCCCCAGCCGGCUAAACUCGUUGAGGACAGGGUCCGUACAUUUCUCCCUCAUUACUGAAGGCCCUUACAGAGCUGGCAUGGUGCCUGGAAAACGACACAUAAAAUAGCAGACAAAAAAGGACACCGCUAACCCUCUCUUCCUCCUCUCUGCAGGCUCUGUAUUUUCUCUGUGCAUCGAUAAAACCAUCCUGGCUGCGAUGCCAGGCAGGGACAAGUGAAACUAUGAAUCAUGGAGUGGGGAGGGCAUGGGGCAGGGCUAGGACCCACCCCCAGUGGGCCCAGGACAUGCUGGCAAUGUUCUCAGAGCCAGUGACUUGGGGACAGUGGCCUUAGAAGGCCCCGCCCAGUCCAGCAGCCCCCAGGCGGCGGCAGCAGCAACGCGCUGGCCUUGGGACAGCUUUCAUUGAUCCAAGGCCAAUGUGGACUGGACCUGAGCCGGCUGCCUAUUCCAGCAUCCAGCCCUGGCCCCUGCUCAAAACACAGGCCUGGCGUCUCCCUGUGGCCUUAGCCAGCUCUGUCCUCAGCGGCAGCCAAGUCACUGCCCAGAAUGCAAAUGGGGCAGGUGCAAUGGGCUUCUCCAAUCUGAGACCAAGGCCAUCACAUCCCACACACAGCCCAGGUUGUUCCACACACAAGCAGACAGGGUCCCCUUGGGUUGCUUGGCCCCCGCCCACACAGCUUUCCUGCCUAUCCCCGGGCAGCCACCCCACCUAUUUCUUGGUUCAGCCAGGCAUAUAGCCUGAGGUCAAUUACCUGGAGAACGCAUUGCCACACCAGCUCCCUGGCUCGCACCCCAGCCCAGGUGGCGCACGCUCAUUUUAUUUUCACAGGGCCCCUUCCUGGCUCCACAGCCUUCACUGGCUCCGUGCUUCAAUCAACUCAAAACCCUCUGAAGUCUUGCUGUAGCUUCUCAGUCCAGCUCACUGGGAAACAAAUGGUUAUGGUAGGGAAAAAUGCUAGCCUGGGAGCUGGGUGGUCUGCCUCAGUUUCCUCAUCUGUACAAAAAGAGGAAGCAUGGCAAGAGGGUAUCUCCAAAGACUUUACUGCUACAAUAGAGCAUGACUCCACAGGCUCAGGAGAGGGCCAAUUCAGCCAGGCCCCAGGCUCCGUUCCUCCUCUGCUGUCUUCAGGCCACCCAGAAGGGCCACUGCCCACUUGCAAAGCCAAUGAUCCGUCCUCAGUACCGUCUGUCUCAGGAGGCAAAAGUAUUUUGAGGAGAAGGAAAGAAAAGUGUGGAUGUGAAUGCUUCCCUCAACUCUGCAUCAACCCAGCACCCAACCCUCCCAGCGCCAGACACCCUGCCCACAGGGGAGCCACAGUGGCUACAGAUGGAGAGAGAAGCGCAGCUCACAGGCUGAGGAACAAACGGCAAAUAUCUACCUGCAUGGAACACCAGGAAGGACCCCAUCAGCCUCAGCCUAACAGUCAGUACCUCAAAAAAGAAUUAUCAGGUUAAUUUAAAAAGAGGCUUCAUUCUGGCCGGGCACAGUGACUCACACCUGUAAUACCAGCACUUUGGGAGGCUGAGGCAGGCAGAUGACUUGAGGUCAGGAGUUCGAGACCAGCCUGGCCAACAAGGUUAAACUCCGUCUCUACUGAAAAAAAAAAAUAGCUGGGCAUGGUGGCAGGCACCUGUAAUCCCAGCUACCAGCUACUCAGGAAGCUGAGGCAGAAGAAUCACUUGAACCUUGGAGGUGGAGGUUGCAGUGAGCCGAGAUUGUGCCACUGCACUCCAGCCUGGGCAACAAAGUGAGACUCCAUCUCAACAACAACAACAACAAAAAAAAGGCUUAAUGCUAAUGGCCACAAACUCAUAAUGGCAGUAAAGGAGCAAACGGCAUUGCCAGGUGGUGUGGGGCCCAGACCAUGCCCCCACAUGGCCUGAGGCUUGGGUCCUGGCUCUGUCACCUACAGGUUGUGUGAUGCUGGGCAAACUAAUAAACUUCUUUGUACCUUAGUUUCCUCCUCUGUAUGAUGGGCAAAUAAUAAUAUCUGCCUUGUGGAGUUGCUGGGAGCAUUAAAUUAGCUCACAUUUGUAAAGCGCUUGGAAAACAAUACCUAGUUCCUUAGAAGCACCAUAUAAAUGCUUGUUAAAUAAAUAAAAAUGAAGGUGAAUAUAAAGUACAUAAAGACACACUUGUAAUGUAAAAGAAGGAUGACCAUCUCAAGAAAAAGAAGGAUGACUGUUUCUAAACAUCUUUAGCAUUCGUUGGUUUUAACAUAUAGGAGGGUGUGAACACAUGUGGGGAUUUUUUUCUUCCUCCAUCAGGCAUAGGCCAGACUUACAUGAGGAUCUGAUGUGUUCUAAUAUUAUUUGAACAAACACAAAAGUAUCAGUAUGGGGAGAUGAGGUUAAGCCCAAGAGUUCUGGAAAAGGUUGGGCCUCCUCCAAAAAUGGGAAAGCUGGAUUGGCAGGAGAGGUCACCUAUAGUAUCAAGGUCAAAAGAGUGUUCAGGGCCAGGCACAGUGGCUCAUUCCUGUAAUCCCAGCACUUUGGGAGGCCAAGGCAGGAGGAUCACUUGAGCCCAGGGGUUCAAGACCAGCCUGGGAAUCAUAGCAAGACCUGUCUACAAAAAAUUUAAAAAUUAGCCUGGCAUGGUGGCAUGCAACUGUAGUCCCAGCUACUCAGGAGGCUGAGGCAGGAGGAUUGCUUGAGCUCAGGAAUGGGAGGCUGCCGUCAGCUGGGAUGGUGCCAUUGCACUCCAGCCUGAACAACAGAGCAAGACCCUGUCUCAAAAAGAGAAAAGGAAAAAAAAGAGAAGAGAAAAGAGAGGAGAGGAGAGGAGAGGAGAGGAGAGGAGAGGAGAGGAGAGGAGAGGAGAGGAGAGGAGAGGAGAGAAGAGAAGAGAAGAGAAGAGAAGAGAAGAGAAGAGAAGAGAAGAGAAGAGAAGAGAAGAGAAGAGAAAAGAAAAGAAAGCAUUCAGCAAAGGCCUCCAACAUGAUCCAUUUGCCCGCUGCCUUUAUAGGGGAGCGUGAACUACCCAGACUUGGGCCACCACCUCUGGAGGGAUGAACCCUCGGGGCGGCUCCACUAAUUACAGGUUGGAACUAGCAAGGCACAGCCCUGUCUUAAUGGUGCCCCCGACCAGGCUGACUAGAGUGGGCUGCAAGUGCCAGCUGCCCAGAGCUUCCACCGUGCAGCACCUCAGGGCAUGCUGGGCUAUAGAAAAGCAAAACCAAACAAAACCCAUGAGGAAGGCGUGGGCUUAAAAAGCUCUUUUUCACCACCAGUGAAGUUUAAUGCUUAAAAAGGAAGUCAAGAAACUCGACUGGUGCUUGCGUCUGAGGGACUGGCGCGAGGAAACUCAUUUCCGUAUUCUCUCUACUUUCGUGUCUGUCUGAAAUGUUCUAUGAGAAAUAGUAUUAAAAAGGGGAACUUAGUCUAAAGAACAGGGGCUUGAGUUUAAACCAUCUUGGGAGAAGCAGCCAGGCCCAAGGCUCACCAAGAGUCACCGCGCAACGAGGAAGAUCUGAGUGCUGGGGUCGGAGAGGACAUUAGGUUUCCUUUAGGCACAGUGAGGUCACAGCAAAAUAGGAAGACCAAAUGGUGUGCCGCACUGACCAUGUGCCAGAUGCCCUCCCAAGCGCCCCAUGUUUAUAACUCAUUUAAUCGUCACAACAACCAUGAGGCAGACGUUGCUACUUCCCCAUUCUACAAACAAGGAAACUGAGGCAGACAGUAGUUAAGAAAUAUGAGGCCAGGCAUGGUGGCUCACGCCUGUAAUCCCAGCACUUUGGGAGGCUGAGGCAGGUGGAUCCCUUGACGUCAGGAGUUUGAGACCAGCCUGGCCAACAUGGUGAAACCCCAUCUCUACCAAAAAUACAAAAAUUAGCCGGGCAUGAUGGCGGGCGCUGGUAAUCCCAGCUAAUCGGGAAGCUGAGGUGGAAGAACUCUCUUGAACCCAGGAGGUGGAGGUUGCAGUGAACCGAGAUCACACCACUGCUCUCCAACCUGGGCAACAGAGCAAGACUCUGUCAAAAAAAAAAAAAAAAAAAAAAAAGCAGAAGAAAAGAAAAGAAAAGAAACUUGAACAAGUAGCUAACAAGUGGCAGCACUGGGAUUUCAACCCAGCCUACCUGGGCAUGAGGCUGAGCUCUAGCCACCCUGCUGAGCUGCUGCUUCAUUUCAGCCAAGAACAGAUCUCAGCCCAGUGGGGUCAGAUGCAGAAACAAUGGCAAAACAAUGGAUUAAAGCUAUAGCCUCAACAGCAUAGCUUUGGCAUGGGCUUAUUUGCAAGGGCAGACAAGCUGAUAACUACCGUUACCUGCUGUUAGGGUAUGUGACCUGUCAUUCUAAACUUGCAGUCUCAGUCCCAGUUAUUUAAGUUAACUUGAAAUCAGCAUUUAAAUCUUUAAGAAAUACUGGUUCCUCUAUUAGAUAUGUAAGUUGAAUGAACUGAGCAAUAAACAAAAUACUGAAGGGUGUAAGUUUUCCUUUCCAUGUAUGAAUGUGGCCUGGACAUUAAGGAAUCCCAUCAGUACCAGGCCACCAGCCAUUCCCGUUUCAUUUGCUGUCCACCCAAAUCAGCCACACCUGCCCUGAGGACAUCUGCACUAGGGCAGUGAUCCCCAACCUUUUUGGCACCAGGGACCGGUUUUAUGGAAGACAAUUUUUCCAUGGAUGGGGGCAAAGGGAGAGGGGUCGGCAGACGGUUUCGGGAUGAAACUGUUCCACCUCAGAUCAUGAGGCAUUUGAUAGAUUUCCAUAAGGAGCACACAACCUGGAUCCCUUGUAUGCACAGUUCACGAUAGGGUUUGCACUUCUGUGAGAAUCUAAUACCACUGCUGAUUUUGACAGGAGGCAGAGCUCAGACGCUCACCUCCUGUAGUGCUGCCCAGUUCCUAAUAGGCCACAGACCUGUACCCACCCUUGGCCCAGGGUUUGGGGAUCCCUGCUCUAGGGAACUCUUUGGGAUUCCAUUUACUGAUUCAACUCUGGACUUAGGUCCAUGAUACAUCCCAGCUGUAGAAGCAGAGGGAAGUCCAGAGGUAAAGCAUCUCUCCUUAGUGACCCACACCUUCUUUCAGAUCCAUCAAGAUAUAUGCAAACUGCAGAGCAAUUUUUCCAUGUCAGACAUAGAAGCCAGAGAACAAAAGUUACGUGGAAAGCCUAGAUAAUGCUUUUCCCCCCAAAGUAAUACAAUGUUGGGCUAUGUUAAUAGAAGUAUUACACCUAUAUUUUGGGAGGUGACGAUUCUACUAUUUUCUACUAGGUUAGGUGCCACCUGCAAACAAAAUCUCAUAUAUAAAGAAAGACAUAGCUACACCAGCCUUGCGAUUCAAAGUGUGGACUAAGGGCUAGCAGUCUUGACAUAGUCUAGGAAGUGGUCAGAAAUGCAGAGUCUCAGGCCCCAUCUACCCUACAAAAUCAGAAUCUGCAUUUUUGCAUCAUCCCCACACAAUUCAUAUACACAUUCAAGUUUGAGAGACCCUGGUAUAGGGAUGACCAGAAAGAUGACUGCAUGAUUACAGCUAAUAUUGAUAUACCUAGCACGUACCAAGCCCUAUUUUAAUACAUGUGAGUACUUUAUAUCCACACAGCUUUCGAGUCGUGGAGCUGAUGGCAUAAUGGUGAAGGGGUAGGACCUCAAGGAACAGUGAGAACUCACGACGACCUGAGAGAUGGGAUGGAAGAAGCCAGCUUCCUGCCUUCAGACAGGGAGAGAAUGACUCCCUCACCAGAGGAAGAAGGACAAUUCUCCAUAUUUCUUGAAGGCAGAGCAGGACUAAUGACACAUAAGGCCCAAAUUCUCUAUCAUUCCAGGAGCUAGAGUUGUCCAACAAAGGACAAUCAAGGGAGUGAGCUUCCUGUCACAGGAGGUAUCCAAGCAGAUGCUGGGAGGCCUUCUGUACAGGAUGCACAGAAGAGGAUUCCCAUUUCACAAAGGAGUCAGUCUUGAUGGGUUGAACUUUUCUCUCUAAUUGCAAGGCCAGGAAGGCAUCUUCUAUAUCUACUGGGAACCAGAAGGUGGGUGUGCUCCCAUUCCCCACCAAAAGCUGCCUGUGGGUUGCUAUGGCCUAUGACAUACUAGGAAACCUCUGUGGUCUCAAAAGUCGGAACAGAAGAUGGGGCCUAUUAUUAACCCUUCAGCCCCAGCACCUCCCUCAACCUAGACUGCAGACACGUGGCUCACGGUGGUCCUCAGGUAAUAAGCAGAGCUAAAUGACCCCUGGCUGGAGAUGGGAGGGGAGGUAGGGAGACAGCCACCCACCCCCCGCCCAAACAAGGAGACGCCUCUGUGACUCAGUGAUCCACGCUUUCUCAAACAGGGAAACUCUUUGAAGAAGUCCCCCAUCCACUCACCAGUGGGCCACCACCUUGACUAACCAGAUCCCACGUGCUGGUAUCUACAAGUGACUGCAAGUUUUGCUCUGUUCACAGAAGAACGAGGUGAAAAUGAAAAAACUUUGUUGGGAAUUUGCCUUCUAAAAUGUCAAAGGCCAGGGAAAUGGACCUGGCAUGGAGGCAGCAGGGCUGAGGGUCAGAGUCUGACCACCGGGGUCAAACUUUCAGCUCCACCCUGGGUGGAGGGUGAAUCUAAGACCUCCCUGAGCCUUAUAUUCUUGUCUGGAACAUGAAGAUGAGAAGAAUCCCUGCCUCGUGAAACCUUAGAGCAAUGCCUAGCAUGCUGUAAGCACCACAUCCAAGGAACACCAACAGUGGACAGGAACAGAACCCUUGUGAAGAGGGUGCUUUACUGAGUAUGUCCGUUAAACAGGGCACAGACUCGAUGAAAUGACAAACACACAGUGAUCAGCACGUCUGUGACACCCAGGGGUCACUUGUUCAAUGCUAGCUGUUAUCACGGUCCUUCCCACUGCUAUCAGUUAUUACUAUUACCAAACUCCCAAUGGAAACAAGACCACAGUGUCACAGAGCACAGUGUCCAGCCCAGGAGGAGGAGGUACAGAGAGGAGGAAUGCAAGACUCUGAGGGCUGGGGCGGGAAUGACUUGGGGCGUGGGGAAGGCCCUGCCUGGGUAAACGCUUGGCGGCUGGAUCUUGGAGGCAGCAAGGCCUCUGGAGAGCCAGCUCCACGGCCUCAGAAGUCAGGCCAGCUUUCAGUUCCCGGCAUCCGGGCCCCACGUCCCCCAUCGGGCCUGCUGCCCAGGGCACUCAGAUUCUUCCAAGGCCCAGGAUGCACGUCCAAAGCAGCCUCUCAGACUCAGGCCCCGAAUUCCUUGGCCGGCAGGGUUCACGUCUCCAUGCGGCUGACAGAGCCCAGCUGCCGGGCGCCUUCUCCUCUGCUCCCACCAAGGCCCUACCAGCCCCUGAGCCCAGGAAUUGGGAAGUGCCAGCAUCCCCAGCUCCUGCCCCAGCCACGUAAUCAGUACAAGCACCCAUGAGGGACUUUAGCUAUCCCCCUUGGUUCCUCUGCACCUGGACAGUGGCAGGUACUACAUGUUCAAAAUCGGAAUCUAAUGACAGGUUUCCCCAUCCACCUCCUUUGUGACCUUCUCCAGGGACUGGAAGGAAAUCCCAUGAAAGAACAAGUUUUACAGAAAAAUUAACAAAAAAGAAUCCUCUCUGUUCUCCAAAGCAGCAUACCCCAAAUCUGGCAGCACUCGGACUCCUGAGGACAGCAAGGGAAAAUGCCAUGCCUGGGCUCGGCAGCAGGUGCCUUCAAUCGGGGGUCCGUGCAGCCAGGCCCACAUCUCGGACCUCAGUCUGGGCGCCUGGGCCUCAUUACGAUCUACAGACGACAGCCCAGAGCCCUCAGAUACACAGGUGCUAUAGGGUAAGUGUAGGGGUGUCAAGAAGCUGCUGUCCACACUCAUAAAGGGCUCAGCAGGUGACAUCCUAAAUGAAAGAGACCCUUGUUUAUCCAUGGAGGUCAAGGGAAAGAAACCAAACAGCCCCAGUAGCUCUCAAUUCUCCAUGUGCCUAUGGCCUUGGGUUGCUUAUAAGCUGGCUGGUAUUUUAAUAAUUGCUAACAUUUACCAACGGCUACUCUGUGCCAGACACUGUGCCACAUGCUUUACAUUUAUCCCCUUUUCAAACCCUUGCAACAUCCCUUCUAUUAUCAUACCCAUUUUACAGAUGAGAAAACUGAGGCACAGGUUAAAUAAUGCCCCAAAGUUACACAUUUGGAAAGCAGCAAAGGUAGGACCUUGCCCAAUUCUAGGACCUAUGGGCUGGGAAAAGACCCUUCAACCAAACUGGGGCAGGCUGAUUACAUUCAUGUACUAAUUUGUUCAUGCCUAACUGAUUCCAUACCCUUUUGGGGGAGCCCUCCCACACUGAGACUGGGCUUAGCCACGUGACUUGCUCUAGCAGACGGGACGGUAGUGAAUGUGAUACAGAAACUUGAUAAGGCACUGGGGAGUCCACUUCCUCUCUCAGACCCUGUCCCUGCAAUAAGAAACGCCUGGCCUGCUGGAGGGAUAGGACAUACACAACAAGGAGAGGCCACUGGUCCCAGCCAAUUCUGAUCUAGACCAGGAAGCUGUGGCCAACUGUCUUGAAGCAUGAGCAAGCCCAGCCCAGAUCAACCCAGCCCAGGUCCAUACAGCUCCCACCUACUCGCAGAUGUGGGAGGAAUAACUAAGUCUUAGGGUGGUUUGCAACAUGGCAACAGCUAACUGAUAUGCCAACUGCACUGCCUGUUCUCUUUUGACACAAGAAAAUAACUGCCUGAGAAUUAAGAGAAUGAGUGAGAAAGACAUUUAAAUCAAAGGGUUUGCUUUAAAUGAGGGAUUGUCAAAAAGUUACUGUGUUUAGAUCAGGAUUCAAAUUUUAGAAUUCUUGACAAUACCCAUGAAGGGAUCAAGCCACAUCAGGAGUCACAACUCUACUCGCUCCAUCACACCUGUGUCAUGUCCUUUAAAUGGAACCCUUUAUUGAUCUGUUCUCCUCUUUUAUAUACUUAAAAGGCAAUGCUCUACCAUGUGCCAGGGGACACGGCAUCUUUCUUCCAUGCCAGCCUGACAUGAAGCUACACCUCUGUGUCAGCUAUCCAUCAUUGUGUAAAAAAAACCGCUCCUGAACUUAGUGACUUAAAACCAUCAUUUUACUAUCUUUCCUGAUGCUUUGGGCAGACUGGCCUCAGCUGGGCAGUUGUGCUGGUAGCUCCUGAGUCUUGUGUGGUUGCAGGGGGAGGAAGGCUGGGGCUGCUGUCAUCAGGAGUUUGUCUGGUCUGGAAUACCCCAAAUGGCUCAUGUCUGACGCCUUGGUAGGGGUGGCUGGAAGGCUGGGCUCAGCUGGGACACUAAUUGGGACAUUGGGAGAACUGGGCCUCUCUCUUGUCCUGUUCGGUCUCAGAGCCUCACUCUCCACGUGACCUCUCCAAGUAGUUUCUCCAGCAAGGUAGCUGGACCUCUCAUAGGGCAGCUUGGGGCUCUCAAAAGCACAAAAGCAAAAGCUGCCAGGCUUUCUUACACAUCCCUCCCACUGCCUCUGUUGGUUAAAGCAGUUACAGGGGCCACCUAGAUUCCAAGUGGGGAGUAAACUCUACCUCUCAGUGGGAGGGCAACAAGUUGCAGCCACUUUAAGCCACCAAACCUCUCACCUCCUACACGCGGCCCCCUCUGCCUAACACCCAAGUCGGUAGCAGCACACAUCCUGAAAUGGAGCAAUAAUGCAUUUUUUUUUCCCGGGAUGGAGUCUCGCGCUGUCGCCAGGCUGGAGUGCAGGGGCGCAAUCUCGGCUCACUGCAACCUCUGCCUCCAGGGUUCAAGCAAUUCUCCUGCCUCAGCCUCCCAAGUAGCUGGGAUUAUAGGUGCCCACCACCACAUCUGGCUAAGUUUUGUAUUUUUAGUAGAGUCAGGGUUUCACCAUGUUGGCCAGGCUAGUCUCGAACUCCUGACCUCGUGAUCCACCCACCUCGGCCUCCCAAAGUGCUAGGAUUACAGGCGUGCGCCACUGCGCCUGGCCACAAUAAUGCAUUUUUACCCCAAUGCACACUGGGCAGCAGGCCUGGGAUGGGUCUGCAGCAUAUGCAUUGAGUAAACAAAUGGUGUAUUCCCAGCAGAACCACAGAUAAUUCGUGGAUGAACAUCAAGACAAAGGUAGCAGCCUUGGAACCCCAGAAUCCCUGCUGUGUCACGAGAGUGCCCCAAGGUGCCAUUCCAGAAUGAAUGAAUGUGUGGGAUGACCACUGAAUGGCAAUGUUCCUCUCCCUGCACAUACACAGGGAUGUCUGGAAGGUAUGAGGCAACCACAUUCUUUGCAAAUACCUCAGUCUAAAAAUGGGCACCUGCAAGAUCCAGACUCCCCUGGGAGGGUCCACUUUAGGAUAUGUGGGAGGGGGCAGCUCUCUCUCAGGGCAUUUUGAAUCUCAUUUUGGCUGGGGCUCUAGGCACAGACCUGAGGGACUGCUGUAGGGAGGACAGCCCUGCGAGAGUCCUUAAUCAUCUAACUAAAACCACGUUCAAGGCAUAAUUAGCAAACAGCUCCAGAUUCAUGAUCUGAGGCCCACUGACUCUAAUGGACUAAUUAGGUGAGACAUCCUUGGGCGGGCAAUGCACUCUGGCCUUCUCAGAAACAUCCCAGAGAGCUCAGCAGAUCAAGGCUGGCAUCUGGUCCAUGAGCUGCCUUACGAUGGCUGGGCAAAGAGACAAACGCAUUACUGGGCAAGAACUACACACAGCUUCCAGAGAUCAACAAGGCAAUCCCUUCCACCCCAGCAGCCCCAAACAACCAAUCCUUGCAACACUCAGAUCCUGGACACAAAAUCCUUUGCUCUGAGCAAUCAGCAACAUGCUCUCUGCCUCCUGAACCACCCUGCCCUUUCCAAAUCAAGGCUAACAGCAAUAAAGGGCACGCAUGCCUACACACACAAUUCUGCCCUCCCCAGGUCCCACUCCUCUGUAAGCUAACAGCCACUGAGAGCUGCUACAAGACAGCACCUCAUCAUCCUGGAUCAGAAAAAUAAAUCACCAGCUCUGUGGAAGCCCCAAAAGUACUCAGGGCCUCAAAUCCACCACAGAUAGCAGACACUUGCUGUUUAGCCAGUUCUCUCCAUCCGAGGUGCCUCUGAGUAAGUGGCAGGGGUCCCACAAAGCAAUAGGAGCUGGCAGAAGGCAAAGCCUUAGCAAAGGGAAAGUCUGCAUCUUUGGGAAGCCCUCGAUGCCUCUGACAUAAUAGCAGGUACAGGCAGGAAUGCAAUAGACAUGCUGAGUGAAUGCAAGAGAAAGCACCCGAGAGAAUGAGAGCACUCAAAACCCUGCAGCACUGUUUGCCAAAGGACUCCCUGGCCAGAGAAGCUUGGGAAACUGGUCCCUAAACUGAAGGAAUCCUGAGUAAUACGAAAACUCCAUAUUCCAGAUUCACAAUGCACAUUAAGACAGUGAAGGCUCUGAGAAUUCCUGCAGUUAAGGAACUUAUUUAAUGGGUAGUUGCAGCAAUUGUUUCACAACACUAAUUUUGCAAAGAAUCUUUUUUUCCCCAGAAUCUCCAGUGGGAUAAUAUAUUUAGGAAAUAUUGUCCCUGGUAAGCAAUACAUCAGUACAGGGCAGAUACCGCAAGCCCCAAUCCCAUAGGAGCUAAGGAGCUAAGUUAUUUAAAUAAGUUAAAUGGGGGCAGGUUUAAUAUUUGCAUAAAAGGCAUAUGGAAACACUCUUCAUCUCCAUGAAGAAAUAUGCUCUAAUUUUUCAGAAAACAACCAUUUUGGUUCAUCUUUUCUCUUCCAUCUUUGAUAGCAAUUGUUUCCUAUGAGAGAAAUAGAAACAUUUAUUUAAAAGCAAUAUAGUUCUAUAGAAAACCAAUGUGCAAAGGCAAUGAUGAAAAAAACAGAGAGAAAAAUGAGAAACAGGGUUGGUGGGCACUGCAGGGGCUCUGGGGGACACAGGCCCUGUCCAAGAGCACAGCCACAUUCAGCUCCACUUGAAUAUUGCCAGGCUAAGAGGUUGAUGCCAAUGAUAUUAGCUUUUCCAAUUUUUAAAAAGAAGUCAGAAAUCUGGAGUUCUGAGUGAAAUUCCUCAUUUUUAAAUGUUGGCUCAAAUUGUUUAAAAAAUUGAAAGGGUCAAACAAAACAUUCCUGGGAGCUAGAGUCAGCUCACCAGGUUGCAAUUUCUGCCAAAAAUGACAGAGUAACGCUCAUUCGACUGGUGCUGCCACCCGUUUCCCAAGCUUCUCUGGCCAGGGAACCCUUUGACAAGGGUUUGAGUACCCUUAUUCUCUUGAGUGCUUUCUCUUGCAUUCACUGAGCGUGUGUACUGCAUUCCCUGCGUGUACCUGCUAUUAUGCCAGUUGCAUUGAGGGCCUCCCAAAGACGCAGACUUUGCCUUUGCUAAGGCACCGCUCUAAGCACUGGGCCCUCGCCUCUCCUUGGGCAGGCCCUGGCAUGUGUGGGAAGGGGUGAGCACACAGUGUGAGGCCAGAAUGGCCAGUCCAUCAAGGGGAUCCAUCAUGGUGUCAUGACAACACUCCCUAAGGUCCUUUUCAGAAAUAGAAUUCAUUCUCAAAUCAAAACUAAAAACAGAAAGCCCACCUGGAGAGGCCAGCAAAGGAAGACAUAGUCCACGGGACUGAGAGAGUGCAUGUGUAGCGGGUUGGGGUGCAUGCUUAGUGGGUUAGAGUGCAUGUGUAGCGACUAGCCGGUGGGACCAAGACAGUGCGUGUGUAGCUGGUAGCCUGUGGGACUGAGAGAGUGCAUGUGUGUAGCAGGUUAGGGUGCGUGUGCAGCAGGUACCCAUGGGACCAAGAGAGUGCAUGUGUAGCAGGUAGUCCGUGGGACCAAAACAGUGCAUGUGUGGCGAGUUAGAGUGCGUGUGUAGCAGGUAGCCCAGGAGACUAAGAGAGUGCAUGCAUGGCAGGUUAGAGUGCAUGUGUAGCAGGCAGCCCACAGGAGUAAGACAGUGCAUGUGUGGCGGGUUAGAGUGCGUGUGUAGCGGGUAGCCCGCAGGAGUAAGACAGUGCAUGCGUGGCGGGUUAGAGUGCGUGUGUAGCGGGUAGCCCGCAGGAGUAAGACAGUGCAUGCGUGGCGGGUUAGAGUGCGUGUGUAGCGGGUACCCCGCAGGAGUAAGACAGUGCAUGCGUGGCGGGUUAGAGUGCGUGUGUAGCGGGUAGCCCGCAGGACUAAGACAGUGCAUGCGUGGCGGGUUAGAGUGCGUGUGUAGUGGGUACCCCGCAGGAGUAAGACAGUGCAUGCGUGGCGGGUUAGAGUGCGUGUGUAGCGGGUAGCCCGCAGGACUAAGACAGUGCAUGCGUGGCGGGUUAGAGUGCGUGUGUAGCGGGUAGCCCGCAGGACUAAGACAGUGCAUGUGUGGCUGGUUAGAGUGCGUGUGUAGCGGGUAGCCCGCAGGAGUAAGACAGUGCAUGCGUGGUGGGUUAGAGUGCGUGUGUAGCGGGUAGCCCGCAGGAGUAAGACAGGGCAUGCGUGGCGGGUUAGAGUGCGUGUGUAGCGGGUAGCCCGCAGGAGUAAGACAGUGCAUGCGUGGCGGGUUAGAGUGCGUGUGUAGCGGGUAGCCUGCAGGAGUAAGACAGUGCAUGUGUGGCUGGUUAGAGUGCGUGUGUUGCGGGUAGCCCGCAGGAGUAAGACAGUGCAUGUGUGGCGGGUUAGAGUGGUAGCGGGUAGCCCGUGGGACUGAGAGAAUGCAUGUGUAGCAGGUUAGAGUGCGUGUAUAGUGGGCAGCCUGUGGGACUGAGAGAGUGCAUGUGUAGCAGGAACACAUGCACAAUGACAGCCUUAUUAGACCCUCAUAACAGCCCAUGUGAUAUGUGGCUGAGGCUUUAUUUAAAUAUUUCUUUCUUUGUUUUUAAAGAUGAGGCUCAUGGAUGUCAAGUGACUUCUCCAGGUGAUCAUAGUGACAUUUGCAUUCCCAGAGACAAAAGCAGCCCCUGAUGAGAUAAGGCAGUGACCGAGACAUAGCCAGUGGUCUUGCAUCCAGGCCAGCCAGCUACUAAGCUGCCCAGGAGAACUACAGGCUGCAGAAGGCCUCCUGAUCACCUGCAGAAUCAUAGGAGAUGGAAUGCUGCUCUCACAGAUUUCUCAGAAGCUGACUGACAGACACUGCAAUAUGAGAAAUGUACACAGUGUGGGUAUCUGAUCAGAACCUGGGUGUGAGUCUCUCAGCAGAGCACUAGUAGAUCCCCAGGGGAACAUCACUCCGCACAGUAAAAGAGGCAGAAUCUUCUGGAACAUGGAGCUGGACAUGGCCAGCUGAAGAAGCAGAAGCCAGCAGAAAAGGAGGCUCAGGUACCAAGGGCACCUGCAAAGGGAACAACGACUCAAGCUGGUACUAUGGCAGAGAUGGCUACCUGCCCCCAAAUAUUCCUACUUCCUCUUCCACAGUGUAGAGUUGUCAGCAGAAGGUAGCUGCCCAGAUGGGACUACAUUUCCCAGCACCUCUUUCAUCAGGGUGGGGCCAUGUGAUUAGUUCUCACUAAUCGAACAUGAGCAGAAGUGGUACAGAAUGAUUCACAGUCAGGGAUCUUAAGCAGUGGGAAGAGUUUUUCUACUCUCUUAUUCCCCUUUCACCAAGUAGAAGCAGAGAACUCAGAGGCUCUCACAGAUGAACAAGCCACAACAUGGAAGGAGCCUGGACCACUAAGUCACUCAUUUUCCAACCAAGGUACCUGUAUUGGACUGGUCCAUGAGUGAUAAAUAAAAUUCUAAACUUCAAUGUCAAGGUGUCUUUACUACAACAACCAGAGUUGCCCCAGCUAAAACACAAGUGGAAAGAAAGAAGAAUACAUGGGUCAAGAAAAUAAGUCCUCACUGGGGUAAGAAGCUCAAGGCAAAAGCAAUACAGGAAAAAAUCUAUCUGCUAAAUCAGAUCAGUCACCACCUCCUACAUACAAUGCCUCCCACCUGAAUGCCUCUACAUAAAGGUCAACUUUAAGACCCCUGGGUGCUUAGCUAUGCCUACCUUGAUUAAGAAUGGCUUACAAAGACAAAUACUGCGUGAUCUCAUUUAUAUGUGGAAUCUAAAAUGGGCAAACUCAAAGAAGCAGAGUGGAACGGUGGUUGCCAGAGGCUAGGGAAAGGAGGAAAUGGAAAGGGGUGAUGGCCAAGGGGUACAAAGUUUCAGUUAUGCAAGAUAAAUAGGUUCUGGAGAUCUACUGCACAGCAUCGUGCCUAUAGCUAACAGUACUCCAUUAUAUAUUUAAAAUUUUCUAAGAGGGCAGAUCUUAAGUAUUCUUUCUCUAUCUCUUUCACACAAAUAAUAAUAAUAAAGAGGGCAGGAGGAAACUUGGGCAGAUUAUAGACAUGUCUAUGGCCUUGAUGGUAGUGAUGGUUUCAUAAGUGUAUGCUUAUUCCCAAACCCAUCAAGUUGUAUAUAUUAAUUAAGCAUAGCUUUGUACAAGUCAAUCAUAUCUCAAUAAAGUGAUUUUUUAAAAUAAAGAAUGACUUAUGAAAACUCAUUUAGGGAAAAAAGAAGGUUAUUUACCAAAUAUACUCUACCCACCCACCCAACAACCCUCCGCUGGGAAGGUAUUCCUACUAUCUCCAUCAACAAGUGAGGGCCACAAGGUCAGGAGGUGUAGUGACUUGGCCAAGGUCAUGAAACUGGUAGAGGCAGAGCUUGGUUUUAACUUAAGACCCUAUUCCUUCCACCAACCCAACCUGCUCUGAAUGGUGUAAAAUAUUUGUAUCAUUUCCCACAAAUCACUUUCUGCCUUGUAUAGGGCCAGCCAGGUAUGGUGGCCUCCGCAACACAAUGGGCACCUCCUGAAGGCAGGGACUCAGGCCAUCCAUCAGUGCAGUCUCACAGGGCCCAGCAGGGGCCUCUCAUCACUGACUGCAGGGAGUCACAUGCUGCUUGACUUCAUGCCCUCACCUGUUGACGGGGAUGGUAGGAAUACCUUCCCAGUGGGUCACUGGGUGGGUGGACAGAGUAUACUUGGUAAAUAACUUUCUUCUUUUCCCAAAAUGAGUUUUUAUAAGUCAUUCUUUAAAAAAAAAAAAAAAGCACUUUAUUGAGAUAUGAUUGACUUGUAAAAAGCUAUACUUAUUUAAUACAUACAACUCAAUGAAUUUGGGGAUAAGGGUACACCCAUGAAAUCAUCACCACCGUAAAAGCCACAGGCAUACCCACAAUCUCCCCAAGUUUCCUGCAGCAGCUCUCAGGCCAAAUUCUGGUGCAUUUUCAGGAUACUCAGGAGGCUUCCACCCCAAAUCCUGUCCUCUAACCCAGCUCUCUCCACCAAGGAUAAUCAGAAACAUAACAAAAGGCACUGCUUCCACUUCUGAACAAUCACCAUUUGAUCAUAGCAAUCUGGCUAUGGAUGGAUAAUCUUAUGAGUCAUUCAUUAUCAAUAUUUAAACCAGGAAUUACCAUCACUAGGGGUUACAUCUUCUUUGCUAUCUGGAGGAGGAGAGGAGAGGGAGUGACUGAAUGUCUUCAUGUAAUUGGACAUGGGGGUGAGUAUAGCUGCUCCUCCCAGCUCUGCUCUGAGGCUUGCGAAGGCAAUACCCACAUCUGCCCACCAUCAAGCCUCCAUCUGACCAGGGCCUGUUCAGGGCCUGGGUGGGACCCUCAGGAGAGUAAGGGCAAACUAGCAUAUAGUCCCAACAAAAGGCAGGAAUAAGCCAAGAAGCUAGCAAUCAAUUCUGGGAACUCAGAAUCUUCUAGAAUAUUCUUGAGCCCAGGUAGGAGGCUUGGUGGGCUCUGCAGCCCAGAUGCUCCCCUACGGCAGGGUUUCUCCACCUUGGCACUGUUUACAUUUGGGGCCAAGGUCACUCUUUGUUGCAGGGGCACAUCCUGUGCACUGCAGGAUGGUUGGCAGUAUCCCUGACCUCCACCUGCUAGAGGCCAGCAGCACCCCCAACCCAGCCAUGACAAUGAGGGAUGUACCCAGAUAUCGCCAAAUGUCCUGUGCUACCAUGGAGAACCCCUGCUCCAAAGGAUGCAACAAAUGGUGGCCACACCAGAAUUUAGGCCUGGUGUUUUCCCAUUUUCCAUUUUCUUCUAUCUGGAUUUUUAUGUGAUAUGUCUCCAUUUUUAAAGUUUGGCAAUUAAUUAAAUAUUUUUAUGCUGCUAAAGCCAAAAAGCAUGUGUAAAGGUCACUGGCCAGAGCCUCCACCAAGCCCUCUGCUAAGUCCAGAUGGAAAAUGAAAAAGCACAUAACCUACUUCUCAGUGUUCGAGCUCCUGAGUUCAAGAGCAAGUCCGUCCCCACAGCCCGGGGAAGGAGCCCUGGAAAGGGAGGCCCACGUUAUUUCUGGGGGGAAUAUUGCCACAAGAUCACCUGUCAAAGGGGCUCUUCAAAUCCCUUCUCCCAGGAACACAGACAACCCCAUUUGUUCUUUCUCCCCGAAAAUACAAUUACCCUCGCGCUGAUGUUCUGAAAACCAGGCCCUAAGCCGGCUCUGGCCUAUGAAGCAAACACUUGUGAACCACCCGCCUAUAAAACCAGCCAGCCUCUGGGCACUGGUGAAUCUUUUAGUGCCAACGUUACCCCAGAAGACUGGCCUCCCUAUCUCUCAGCCCCUAGUUAAAGAACUUGAUCUGAGCAAGUUUCCUUUCCUUCCAGCGAAAAUCUGGGUUACUAGGGGGAGGGCAGUAGAGAAUCUAAUAAAUCUUAGAAUAUACUUCUUGGCUAAAGGAAAAAAAAAAAAAACACCUACUUACUGGUGUCAUGAAACAACUUUCCAGCUCUCUCAGAAGACAGCUGGGUUCAGAAGUUACUAUUGUAUUCAAGCUGUAUUAAAUCAAGCUGUGAGAAGCACCAGGGUUAUGCUUUUAAAGAAUGCCCUAAGCCAAUUCUGAUGUUUAAAGGGAAAAGGAAAAAGUUUCCAAGGCUUCCAUAAAUUCCAAGGAGAGGAAGUUUCAAACUUGGGUGUUCACAGACCAUGGCCCCCACAUAGAAACAGCUUGGUUUCAUGUAUUUGGUUUUACUGUUCAAACUUUAGGGUCUUUUAACUUUUUAUUUUUACAGGGCUCAGAAGAAAAGGGAGAGGGAGCCAUUUGCUCACCAAGUGCCAAAGAAAACCCAAGCGCCUCCCUCAGAGGGCCUCUGCCUGGGACGACAACGAGGCAAGGAGGUGGGGAGGGGACCCCCUGGCUCCUGGCACGCCCCAGGCACAGCUCCUCCUGCCCGCUGGAGGCCAGGCCUGCGAGGCCAGCUGCUAAUGAACUCCAACAAGAUCAAUCCAAGGCGAGACCACGCUGCACUGCCAUUCGGCCGUGCCUGGGCCUCGGCCACCAGCAGCAGGAGGAGCAAAAUGGAGAGUUUCCAAAAACAAGAUGAGGCCCAGCCAAGUCCCAAGGAAUCCUAAAUUUAGUCCCUGGGGGAAGACGGCUAUGUCGACUCAGCCAGGACACCAGUGAGGCCCAGCAUCCUUUGAAAUGUCAACCAAACUAAACAGGCCCUCCCAGGACACCUCAGCCCCCAGUUCUGACUCACACCCACAUUUCCAAUCCCUAGCCCCCACUGUCCAAGGCCUGUGUACCUAGGAGGUUGGGCAAGACAAGGGAGGUAUACCCAUUUGACAGGAGAGAAAAUUGAGUCCCAGAAGAGGUAGUGGUGAGGUAGAAUGAACAUAGGCAGUCCUGCAUUUGGAUCCAGCAUCAAGUUCUAUCACCCAAUACCCAUGUGACUAGGAAGAAGACAUUCUGCCACUUGGAGCCUCAGUUUUACCAUCUGUAAAACGGGAGUGAGACUAUUUCAAAAAGUACUGAAAAGACAUAAAAUUUUAAAAUUUCUAUGUAUAUAUAGACACACAUGCAUUAUAUAUACAUACAUAUAUGUCAUAUACAUGUGUGUUAAAAAGAGACUGCUGGGCUGCACCCCAGACAUAUAUAGUCAACAGCUGUUGUUUGUGCCAGCUCAGCACCCUCACCCCCGCCCCUGCUCCCCUCUCAGCCCCUGUGGCUGAGGCCAGCCCAACCCGUUUCCGUGAGAGUUCUCAGACACCUAACUGAAUCAGAAUCACCAGGAGCUGAACCCAGGUUAUUCAAUUUUCCCCAAGCUAUUCUAAUACACAGAGACACUUUUAGGAGCAGCUGCCAGAUAAAUUCAGAAGAUCCAAGUGGCUAAGCUCAGAGAGGGUGCGACCCUCCUCCUAGCCCUCAGGAAGCGGUACAUCUGCAAAGGGUCUCAGAUUCUAAAGGGCUGUCAGGGUGGGACCCUCUCCCAGCUCUGAGCCAAGAUGCAGAACCCAGAAGGGGAGGUCCUGAGGGGCAGAGACCAGCAGAACUCUGAUCUGACCCCAGAAAGCACUUGCUGGCUCUUUCCCCGCAGCACCCGGCUUCACACUGCAGGGCAGGUCAAGGGGAUGAAGAAGAGCCCAGAAGCUCCAAAGGGCCUCGCUUUAACCUGAUGGGGGGAGAAGGAACAGGGAAUGUCCACCUGCCCACAGGGCAACUUCAGCAUCAGGAGGUCUCCAUAGCAACCCUCCAGCUGGAGUCAUUCAGCCACCUGGAGACCAGACAGGGUGCAGGGGGGCACCACAGGGAUUGAGAUUGUGUGGUGCUGAAGGUAGAGGUACGGGUUCCAGCAAAGAAAGAAAUAACAAAGACCUUCCCAUGGCGGGGAAAAGACUUCCAGAAAGGACUUUCUUCUUGGAGGGAAUGAUAAUUAGUCAUAAGAGCAGCCUUACUGAGCACCUCCAGGCCACACAGUUUUACUGAUUCACACACCAACUCCAGGAGGAAGAUUCAACUACUAGUUUCGCUUUACAGAUGGGGAGACUGAGGCCUCAGAAACAUUAGGAAAGUUGCCUACAUUUGCACAACUGCUAGGCAGCAGGCCCAGAACUCAAACUCAUCUGAUUCCAGAGCCCACUCUCCCACCCUCUUCUGCACGGGGCAGGUCAGCACCCCUUCCGACCUCAUGAUCCUGUUGGCUCCAGAGACUGACUUUGGUCAGCACUCUUUCUAACCUCCACAUCUCCUGGGCUUGAAAGAAACUGGCUUUGGAUCUGUCUCUGUCGGACUCAGGGACAAGCUCAAGCCCGGACACCGUGCUGCACCCAAGCUGGGUAAGAAGACGAACCAUAGGGGUGGUCAGCACUCAUUUUUAGAGAUGGGCAAACUGGUGCAGAGAGGAUUUCUCUGAUUCCCAGAGUCCCACAGCAGAUCCCCUGAACCCCUUCUCACCAAUCUGCCGCCUCCCCUGAGUUAGAGCACAAAAGACAGGGCGGAGCAGACAACUCCACUACCCCCAGCCAUCGAGCCAGGCCCACGUAACACACGGGGUUCAUUCCCCAAAAAAAUCCAAGAUGGAAGCAACUACCCCCACCCUCUAGUUUACAGACAGGAUAGCUGAAGCUCAGAGAUUGAAAGAACUUGUCCAAAGCACACAGCAAAGCACUUUCAUUCUCCAAGGAUUAACAGAUGCCUAUAUGUGUCAGGCCCUGUGCAAGGCUGUGGAGCCCCAGGAGUUAAUGACAAUAUCCUGCCCCCUGCCACCAGAGGGGUGACAAUACCCUGCCCCCUGCCACCACAGGUGAAUAACAAUAUCCACAACUCCUUGCUGUUCCUGUGGGAGGUGAGCAGUAACUCAACUGCCACAUGAAUAAGUCACAAAUGACCAAUGGUGGUGAGCAUUCCAAGGAGGCAGAAGGAACAGGAUGUUAGGAGAAGGAACCACAGUGAAAGCUGCUCCAAGGCACAUGUGAGAGCUCCAUCCUGGAGGGUGAGCUGGGGAGAACAAGGGAGAGUACUGGGAAGCAUCUCCAGCUGCAGGAAUAGAGCGUGCAAAGGCCCCGAGUUGGGCAUGUGAUGGGUGUGUUCCAGAAGGGAGCAGGGCGGCUGGGACGGAGUGAGGUGAAGGGCGGCCGGGGAUGAGAAGCAGGAAAGGGGCAGGUUGUGCUCAGCCUUAUGGACCAUGGGAAGGAAUUUAGAUGUUCCUCUAAGGACUGUGGGAAGCCGCAGUAGAGAUUCAAGUAGGAGAGGGAGUGGAUCUCAUUGGGUUCUGCAAAGUCAGCCUGGCUGAGGCAGGGAGAAGAAAUUCAGAGGCUGUUGGAGUCCUCCAGGAGCAACAGGAUGAUGGCUUAGAAGAGGAUGGGGACCAUGGUGAGCAGUGGGCAAAUCUGAGAUUCACAGAGUCAUAGAUUGACGAAAGGUGUCCAUCUGGCAGCUCUGCAGGGAAGGAAGGGGAGGAGUUAGGAAUGACCCCCCAGGAUGCCUCUCUGAGCAACAGAUGAAUGGAGAGCCCGUCACUGGGACUGGGAGGCUGGGAGCGCAGAUGGGUCUCAAGAGUUGGUGGGGAAGGCUGCUUCCGACAGGCUGUUUGGGUGUGUGAGCGGCAGUGAGUGGAGGGCACCCAGGUCUUCGGAGCACUUGAAACUCCCAAGGUCCCUACCAACCCCCAAAGCCUCCAUGUGCACAAACCCUGGUUCCACCAGGCUGUGCGGCCAGCUGCUCGUCCUCAUCCUGGCUGCAUUGCUGACCUUCCCCUCUCCGGAUCACAUCUCCCCACAGGAGGCAGAGCCCUGGCCUCUGUGUCUCUCAAACAGUGAUCUCCAAAGACAGAAUUUGGGUUUGUUAUAGGAGGGCUGCCACCUGCAGCCCCCUAGGCCAGAGCCCAUGUCACUGACAAUUUCCAAGGCCUUGAAAGGGACCUUUAAUCCAACUGUCUGUGUUGAGCAGGCCAUGGGCAGCCCCUCCUUCCCCUCCACUUUCCUCUCAGCUCUCCCUUCAAAGGCAGCCCCAGGGAGGAGAUGUCCAGCACAGCCUGGCCCUGACAGCGGGACAGGUGCACACCCAGGAGGGUCCGCCAUGAGCCCAGUGAAGGAUACCACCAGCCAGCCCUCAGUGCAGAAGCCUCCCUGUGCCUGGCACAGGGCUGCUAUGGCUGGGGUGGGGGCUACAUCACUCCAAUACCUGCCAGCCACAUUCCACCCUCAGCACAAGGUGCUGUACAGAUGUUACCGCACUCCUGGCAACACAUUUCCCAGAUGGAAAAACCAAGGCUAAUAGACAUGGUCACUCCAUAGAUCCUGGGAGUGGAAGUCCUACCCCGUUCUGCCUCCAAAGGCUGGCCAAGCUUGUCACAUAGCACGUGAAUAAUAACUGUCCUACGUAUCACCUGCUUUCUGUGGCUAGCUACGGAGCUAAGUGUUUCACAGGCAUUCUCAUCUGAUCUACAUGACAGCUUCACGAGCUAAGCACCAUUUUCACUGCCAUUUUACAGAUGAAGAAACAGAGACACAGAGAGGUUAAGGCACUCGCCCAAAGGUCACACAGCUAGUAAGUGGCAGGGCCAGCAUCUGAAUCGGUCCUGGCUAUCUCUGGGGCCAGUACAGUGUAUCUCAGUUCCCAUUAUCUUCCCUCUUCAUACAGAGCCUGUGUAGACCAUAACAUUUUAAUAUCACAGGUAUUCUGUGGAUCUGUUUAUAUACUGGAUGUAUAUCUGUGUUUUAUACUUAAAAAGACUAAGACUCCUUUGCCCCCCAAGAACCAAUUUCUGCCUCCUUGGGGUCAACAUCAUCCCCAUGGAGUCAAGGCCAGUGCUGUGUGACAGGAACAGAAUACAAGCCACACAUGUAAUUUUAAAUGUUCUAGUAGCCACAUUAAAAAACAAAGAAACAGGUGACAUUAAUUUUAACAAUGUUAUUUAAGCCAAUAUAUCCAAAAUACCGACAUUUCAAAAUACUAUCGUUACAUGUGAUUUUUUUAAAUUAUUAAUAAAAAAAAGUUGACAUACUUUUCCUUUUCUACGUUAAGAUUUUGAAAUCCCCUGAGCACUCCCAAUCCAGACCCGCCCUAUUUCAAACGUUCAGUGGCUGCAUCACGACAGAGGCUGCCAUGGUAGGCAGUGCCCGCCCGGCUCCAACCACUCUGCUAAAGCAAUGUUCUGCAUCUUCCCCAAAACUCCUGAAAAUCCACCUAUGCGGGACUUCCUCCAUCCAAGGAACCCCAUCACUCCUAACCAGAGGGUUCCACUUAAUAAGUUCUUGGACCUCCUACAGACAAGACACCAUGCUAAAAAGCUCACAAGAUACAACAAGGAGUAAGAACUGGCCUCUACCCUCAAGCAGCCUACAAUCUAAGUGGGAGGAGAGGAGUGAAAUAAUUACCAACCCUACUGCACACCAGGCUCUGGGGCUUCUCACCCAUUCUCUUAAUCUUCAUACUCAUCCUGGGAUAUGGGUUCUAUUAUUACCAUCCCAUUUUAUUGGUAAGGAAAUUGAGGCUUGACAGACCAUGGAUUUUGCCCAGGGUCUACUUAUUUGACUUGGCCAACCCAGGGCAGAACAAAGAUGUUAGCAAAGCCAUGUGGAAGCUUUUAAGAACAAGGAGGGCAGCUUCAGAGAGGGCUUCAGGGAGGGCGUGAGUGAACUUGGAGGCAGCAUGAAAGGGAAGAAGGAAGCAGAGAGCCAAGGAUAAAGCAGGGGUGUAUGUAUUUGCAGGGAACACAGAAGCAAUAAGUGCAUUUCUCAUGGGCGAAACUGCACAAGCAGAACCUUGGAAGCAGGAAAAGGGGCCAGAAUUCUGGGCGCUAAAACGCUGUAGCAUGAAGCUGGUGCACAGCGCAUGGUAUGAGGAUAGUCCAAGUUCAAUCACCCAGACAUGGGAAAGCAUCCACUGCCCAACCCAUAGACUAUAAUGUCAGCGGAAUCUGACUUCCCAAAAUAUUUAUCAGAAGGCGCUGGGCACCAGAUUCCAUUCUGUAAACCUGGAUGCUGUUCCAAAGCUGAGAUGAUAGAUCUCCCAGAGAACCAGAUAAACUCUCCCUCACAUUCUAAAUAAUGAAGGGAAGGUGGGGAAGAGAAGGAGACAAAUCAACCUUCUCCAACUGCCCAACUUAAAGGGAUUAUGGUCAGAAGCAAGACGGGAGCAAGGGAGCCAUCUCCUUAUCAGGCACACGGCUGCUCCAGACACAGACAAAACUUCUAGCAUGCAUCCUUCUUCCACAUUGGGGGAGAGAAGCACCCAGUCCUAACACACAAAGGUCAGUCCCAUCCUCUGGGGGGGCAGAAUUUCAAGCCAAUCUGUUUCCCCCUAAUUUCCAAGAAAGAACAGUCCCUUCCAUGUACAGAGGUGCUGACUGGAGCUCAAAGAAUGAGGCCCAUAAAUCUCCAACCUGCUAAGGAGGCCCAGAUUUCAAACCUCCCAGUGCGCCGGCCCACUGCACUCAAAGGCACAAGCAAAGGAAGCUGUGGGAUGAGUAGAUUCAGGAAUGUGGAUGAAGGAAGACCCCCCUCUCUCGCUGCCAACGAUCACCAUAGACAUUAUGGACUGAAUAAAUGAGGAAGCGCUUGACACAGAUGCUCUCACUUAAUUCUCCUGAAAGCCCAUGAGGCAGGUCCUGCUGUUAUCCCCAGUUUACAACAAGAAAUGACAGAAUCACAUGGCUGGGAAAUGGCAGCACCAGCUCUAACCUGGACUUCCUGUGUCUCCAGCUGGGGCCCCCCAUAGGCUGGCCUACCACUCUCAGUUUCUUCCCCUCUCUGAUAUGCGGUCCUGGUUUCAAGCCCAGUGCUAACCACGUCUCUUCCCUGUUCAACACCCUUAGGCUUCCGUGUGCUUGCAAAAUAAGCCCCAAAUCCCCAGAGAUGGUUAAGAAAAGGUAGGCGGGUGCUCAGGGGCCCCCCAGGCCUUCGCAAGCCAAUUCAUGUCACCCACUCCCAACUCCAAAAAAAUGCAGCCCACCCCCUCAAAGGGCCCAUCCAAGAAGCGGGCUUUCUGGCAUCAUAUUUUCCUCCCACAGAACGUGAGAAUAAAGGGCUCUUUGCUUGUCUCCUGAAAUAACUGGCUCUCGCCAUAAAGCAAUCUUCUGCCCAGUAAAAAUAUUUCUGUAAAACUUGGUAACUCUAUCUGCGGUUCCUUUUCUGAAAGUCAAAAAUCUUGGGGAGUGAAAUAUGGCAGAGGCCAGUUUUAUGACAAGCUCAUGAAGUCAUGUCUACCCGAGACAGGCCCUCCUUAACACUGUGAUUAAUUUGCUGUUAACCACAGGGACUUUGUGUCUUAAUAUACUCAAAGCAAAGCACCAGUUCACAUUUCUACCAGAACAAUACCCACCACCCCAGACCUGGUGUCCAGCCAGGCAGGUAGCGGAGCCAUGGCUGGGAUCUGGGGCCAGAAAGGACUCAGUUGAGAUCGGGGACUCUGCCAAAGGGCCAUAACACACAAGGGAGCUGUCACCUGUGGCCUGUCCUUGGCCAAGGAGGAGGUACAGCUUAUAAAAUAAGUGAGGGGUGUCCCGAGAUCAGAGUGUAAAAGGCACUCACAGCUAAACCAAACUAACUCCAAGACACCUAGAGAAGCCCCUGAAACCUCCCUAGGGCUGGGUUUUCCCAUCUAUAAAUGGGGAGCAAUCAUCUCAGGGGAACUCCUGAGCAAUCAAAUGUGAUGUCCCCUCUCAACAUCUUCUUCUGACAAACGGCAAUCACGCCCCUUCCAGGUGCUAUUUUCGGCCCCAAAGAAAUGGAGACCGGUUUACUGGGAAUCUUUCAGAACACAGCAGCAGAUCCAGAGGCCUUAAAGGGCUACUGAGUACAUCUGCUGGGUGCUCACUGCAUGCUAACACUUCAGUGGCCAUAUGCAUUACUUCAUCAUUUAAUCUUUGAAACAACUCCAAACGGUGGGCAUUCUGUUCCUCUUUUUAUAGGUAAGAAAACUAAGGCCCAGCGUCAACACGGUUCAGUAUAAACCCAAGUCUGAAGCCUGGUCCUAAGCUCUAUGCACCCCUCAAAUUGGGAGAUCACAUAGGGAAAAAGGAGUGAAGUAAUGCAAUUAAGUCUUAAAAAAAAAGGGGGGGGGCCAUAAAAACUAAAACAGGAGUUCCUAACCUGGGGCCAUAGGUGCCCUGAAAUUGGAAUGACGGAUGUAAGAGCAUUUAUCUAAGGAGAGAGACACAAGAGAUUUGGUGGAUUCCCAAAAGUGUCUUGUUACUCACUCCUUGAGGGUUAAAAAUCAUCAACCUAUGAUCAUCAUAGAGAGGUCAGAAGCUUGAAAGGAAGGCUGUAACCCAGGUGGGCUGCAUGGAGGAGGUGGCAAACCACCUAGGUUCUUCCAAGAUCCAAUGGCAAUGGGUGGGUCAAUGGUCAGCUACCUAGCUGCCCUGUCCUUACCCAGCCUUGCCAGCUGCUGACCAGAGCCUUGUUCAGUGAUUCUGAUUCCAGGGACCAGGCCAUCCACAGCUGUUGGCUCCACCCAUACAGUGUGCUUUCUACAGCCUUCUCCUCUCAAGUCAGUUUCUCAUUAGGGAGGUUCAAGGGAUGCGGGGACGGGGGUGAUCCCAGCCUCCACUCCAGGACAGGCAUGUGACCCAGGACUGUCAGAGGCACAGGGAUGGGUUCCGGGAUGUGACCCAAGUCAAAACAAUGGGAGCUCCGCCUGGGUUUUUGCUGGAACUUUCUUCUCUAACAACUGAAGCUGGGAGUCUGGACUGCUGGGAGCCAAGUUGCCAUUACCUGGGAAGGGUGUGCCUAAGGAUGAAGCCAAUCUAAAAGAAAGCAGAGAUGAAGACACAGAUUGCUGUCCUGGGACAUAGUUUGGGCUGGUGGAUCCAGCUGUAACUGAAGUCCACUCCCUGGUUACACAAGCCAAGAACUUGACUGUAUGAAACAGUUGACAAGGGCUUGAAAUCCAAAAGGUCCCAACGGAUCCACAGAGAAAGUUCACACCUACUUAACCACAAGCUCCCCCUGAAGCUGCUUUCCUCCUCGAUUUUGUAGACACCAGCCAGAAGGAAAAACUCCAGCUUUGCCAGAAAAAUAGCAGAGCCACACCUGGUGAUCAUAUCAGGAUGUGCAGUGUGUGUCGGGGGCACAGGGCAAGGGGUGGAAGCAGAAAUGCACACUGUUGCUCUAAAGUCGACCACAGGCAGAAGCCCACAAAUGAUCUAAAUGCCCAGUAGUAAGGAAUCAAUGCAAUGAUGGUCUAUCCUUAUAACAGAAGGCUUGAUAGCCAUGAAGAACAAUAAGAUUAUACAUUCUGAUAUGAAAUGAUUUCCAAGAUAAGUUUAAAAAGUUAUGUAUUAAGAAAGCAAGGUGCGGAGACAGAUGUAUACAUGAAUCUUAAGUUAAAAGAAAAUCUUAAGUUAAGGUCUGUAUCACUUUUCAUUGUAGUUGCUGAGAGACAUGGUCUCGCUCUGUCGCUCAGGCUGAAGUGCAGUGGUGCAAACAUGGCUCACUGCAGCCUCGAACUCCUGGCCCCAAACCAUCCUCCCGCCUCAGCCUCCUAAGUAGCUGGGACUACAGGCACACAUCACAAACCUGGCUAGUUUUUUGUUGUUACUGUUGUUAUUUUAAGAGAUGGGGUCCUGCUACAUUGCCCAGGCUGGUCUCAAACUCCUGGGCUCAAGCAAUCCUCCCACUCUGGCCUCCCAAAGUGCUGUGAUUACAAGCAUGAGCCACUGCACCUGGCUUCUAUAUCACCUUUUUUUUUUUUUUGAGACGGAGUCUCACUCUGUUGCCCAGACUGGAGUGCAGUGGUGCAAUCUCAGCUCACUGCAAGCUCUGCCUCCCGUGUUCACACCAUUCUCCUGCCUCGGCCUCCUGAGUAGCUGGGACUACAGGCCCACACCUGGGUAAUUUUUUGUAUUUUUAGUGAAGGAAACACGGGGUUUCACCAUGUUAGCCAGGAUAGUCUCGAUCUCCUGACCUUGUGAUCCGCCCACCUUGGCCUCCCAAAGUGCUGGGAUUACAGGCAUGAGCCACCACACCCAGCCUCUAUAUCACUUUUUUAUGGUUCUCCACCUUAAAUGAAUUUUUCAAUUAACCUGCAAAUACCAAUGCUUCCUGGUCUUGUUGGCCAAGACAGCUUCUGCUGUCUGUGCAGGGAUAAGCAUGCACAAACAGAGCAUGGCUAGAAGUAUCUUGAGGAGCCCACUACAGCAGAUACCUCCAAAGGGGGAAGCUGGGAGGUGGAGGUGGGCGGAGGCUUCCUGUGUACUGCAUACCUUCAGUACUAUUUUGGAUUUUCUUUUCUUUUUUUUUUAACCAUGCGUACGACUUAAUUUACAGAAAGGAAAAAGGUGAGGACCCUUUCUGAAGGGCAGAGGCUCUCUUCAAAGACACAGAACAGCCUGGCUCCAUAAAAGAGGUGGGGACUUGGACAGAACAGAACAGAAUCCCUGCCUCUCUGGCUGUGUGCCCUCUGGCCAAGCUGCAUGGCCCCUCUGAACCUCAUCCACCUGGAAAAUGUUCUUGAGGAUCUGCCAUGUGCCAAUCAGUGCAAAAGGCCCAGGGAUACAAGAGUGAGCCACAAAGAACCUGACCUGUGGACUUUACAGUCUGGCCUCAGUUUCCCCAUAAUAAUAAUUUUGAUCCUGGCCACAUUUUUGUGAAUAUUAAAUGCCUGACAAAGCCCUGUGAGGAAGGCUUUGCAAGCCAUAAAGCCCUGGGUAAAUCCUGGCUGGAAAACAGCCACCCACUCAAUGCUGCUGCCUCCAACUCAGCAGGGAGUUUACCUUCCAGUGCCCCAGACCCAGAGCCAAGAGGACGAGACGCCAGUAGCAGCUGCUGAGCAGAACCUCCAAGGUUAAGAAGGCUAGAAAGGCCCCGAUUUGUGACAUCACAAGAAGGUGCUCUGAUCCAACCAUCUAGAAGGAAGACCAUGAUCAUUCCCCACCAUGGCCAUGGCUGCGGCCAGCCAGGGCUAACCAAGCCUGAACACAGCUAUGUUACAAGGAAGGGGGCUCUGGACAGGCCCCAAAGACGGUUAACCAGUACUUCCUGUGGGGGAGAGCUUUCUUUCCAUGACCACCUGCUGUGAAUCACUCCUUUGCACUCCUUUGACGCCUCCCUGCCCACUGAGGAUGGAGUUUAGCCUGACACACAGGGUCUUCUCCAUGCAUCCAGGGCUGUGCCCACUGAGGAUGGAGUUUAGCCUGACACACAGGGUCUUCUCCAUGCAUCCAGGGCUGUGCCCACUGAGGAUGGAGUUUAGCCUGACACACAGGGUCUUCUCCAUGAAUCCAGGGCUGUGCCCACUGAGGAUGGAGUUUAGCCUGACACACAGGGUCUUCUCCAUGCAUCCAGGGCUGUGCCCACUGAGGAUGGAGCUUAGCCUGACACACAGGGUCUUCUCCAUGCAUCCAGGGCUGUGCCCACUGAGGAUGGAGUUUAGCCUGACACACAGGGUCUUCUCCAUGCAUCCAGGGCUUGCCCACUGAGGAUGGAGUUUAGCCUGACACACAGGGUCUUCUCCAUGCAUCCAGGGCUGUGCCCACUGAGGAUGGAGUUUAGCCUGACACACAGGGUCUUCUCCAUGGGUCCAGGGCUGUGCCCAUUGAGGAUGGAGUUUAGCCUGACACACAAGGUCUUCUCCAUGGGUCCAGGGCUGCGCCCACUGAGGAUGGAGUUUAGCCUGACACACAGGGUCUUCUCCAUGGGUCCAGGGCUGUGCCCACUGAGGAUGGAGUUUAGCCUGACACACAGGGUCUUCUCCAUGCAUCUAGGGCUGUGCCCAUUGAGGAUGGAGUUUAGCCUGACACACAGGGUCUUCUCCAUGGGUCCAGGACUGUGCCCACUGAGGAUGGAGUUUAGCCUGACACACAGGAUCUUCUCCAUGCGUCCAGGGCUGUGCUGUCCAAUGAGGUAGCCACUAGCCUCAUGGGGCUAUUUAAGUUCACAUUUAAAUUCAUUCAAAUAAAAUAUAUCUUAAAAUUUAGGCAGUCUCUGAGUCCCAGUGGUCACAUUCUAAGCCACAGGUUCCCAGAGGGGACAAUGCAGACACAGAACAUUUCCAUCAUCAGAAAGUUCUACUGGUCAGCACAGUCUAGAGGUCACUUCUACAGCCCCUUCUUCUACCCAUUCUACGGCGGGGGGGGGGGGUGGUGGUGGGACCUAGCAGCCCUUUCAAGAGAGGCAGGUGUCAGUGACUGCCAGGGUAGCUCUAAAUCCGCUUGCAAGUUUAAGCAGCCACAGUUAUGGGGAUGUGGGAAGAGGAGAGAGAACCAUGGAGCGAGAGCUUGUCAUGAGUGAGGGCCUGCACUGGCUUCUCUGUAGGGUCGCUCAUUAGGUCCCGCUACACUACAAAUGGGGAGUGCCCUCCUCCCCCCUCAUCCCUCUCCAACUCCUGCACCCUCCUCUCUCCUUUCCUUCAGGGUCCAGUCGGCCCAGCUGUUGCCUAGUACAGAAAGGUUCUGACUCAGGCUCAGGAAACCCCAAGGAGUCUACAUUUUGAAUAGCACCCAAGAGAUUCAGAUGUAGGUGGUCCUCGGCCGCAUCGAGUCUCCCCAACUCCACACCCUCUGGCUGCUGUCUUCUCUCUCCACUCCUUCUGAUAAAGCUUCUCCAUACAGUUGCCUACACAUGCUGUUUCCUCAUCUGUCAUUCACUUUUAAAAUACAUCACCUUUUUGAAAAAUACAAAAAGUAGCACAUGCUCAUUUUUUGUAAAAUCAAACAACCUAAAAAUGUACAAAAUGAAAAGCAAAAUUCUCCAUUCCUCAGGGAAAUAGUCCUUGACAGUGUACCCUUCCAGAUCUUUCUCUAUGCACCUGCAGAUACACAGUGACACAGGCCUGAAUAGACUUUUUCACACUGUAAGAAACAGGACCAUGGCCUAUGAAUGUUUUGCAGUUGCUUUGCUCAUUCAGCAGCGUCUCAGGGUCUCUUUCCUGUCAGCAAGAGAGGCCCUUACUCGCUGGGCUUUGACCAGUUGCAGAGAGCUCAAUGAGAAGUCCACACCACUGUUACCUUGUACCCUAGUGAUGGAUGUUUGAGUUGUCAAAAACUUUUCAUUCUUCCAAAUGCAGCCAUGAAUGUUCUUGUAAGUAUGUGCUUCUGCUCCCCUGCACAUAUUUCUUAGUCCCUUCGUGAGCCACCCAAGUCUCACCUCUGCUGUCACUUCACCAAGACAGUUCCUGCCAGACCCAACUGUGACCGCCAGGAUCCUAAACCCAAGGGACACGUCUCAGUCCUUUUCUAUAACUCCACUCUCUCUGCAAGAGACCACCUACUCUCCGGUAGACUGUGUGGAUGGCCCCCAGUGAAUCCCACUUCCCAGUAUUUAUGCCCCUGUGUAGUUCCUUCCCCUAAAUCUAGGCUGGACCUGUGACUUGCUUUAAUGAAGAGAAUGUGUUGUUGCUAAUUCCAGGCCUAAACCUUAAAGAGUCCUGGCCGUUUUUGCUUCUAUACUCUUGGGAAAGACAGCCACCAUGUAAAUCUGAUUACCCUGAGACUGCCAUACUGUGAGGAAGCCCAAGCUACUCAUGAGGUGAGGCCAACUAGAAGAGAACUGAAGCCCCAGACAUGUCACUUAUUUGGAGCUGCUGCAGUCAGACCCUUGCUGUUAGAGCCACCCUAACUGUGCUACAUGGAGCCACAGACAAGUUGACCCUCCCAGGCUUGGUCCAAAGUGCAUACUCUUAAGCAAGUCACAAAGUGAUCAAGUCACUAAUCUUUGGACUUUUUUUUUUUUUUUACAGCAGUAGAAACAAAGCCUUCUCCUUUCCUUUAAUGCAUUUUUGAGAGGAGGAAGCAGAAGGCAGGAGAGGUCAUAAUAGAUACCUCAUAGCUAAGCUGGAGGCACCCCCAGGCUCAGGGUUCCCAGCGCAGCAUUGUGUCCAACCCCUGAUGACUGAGCCAUGUCUGUGUUUCUCCUGGGAUGAAGCUGCUGCUGUUGGCUUCUCAGGGGAGAAGCCAUGGGCCCCCCCUCCAUGGGACUGCUCAUCCUCUUCAUUCCCUAAGCAAAGGGAGUGAGCCAGCAGCAAGCACCCACAGCAUCCCUGGGAGCACUGACCCAGGCCCAAAAGUCAACAAACCAAACAGCUCAGAAAGCACAGAGAGGUCAGGAAAGUUGCCCUAGGUCACACUGCUAGUGAGAAGUAGAGCCAGGGCUCAAAACCAGGCAUUCAGGCUCAGGGCCUGCACCAGUGACCCACACCAGCGUUUUUCUAAUACUCUGAUUAUGACCUAUAGUAAGAAUUAUAUUUUACAAUAUGCCUCUGCUGUAGAUAGAUAGAUAGAUAGAUAGAUAGAUAGAUAGAUAGAUGGGUUUGGGUAUAGGUGUGUGUAAAGUGUGUGUAUACAUUUUUUUUAACUAGAACAAAAAAUUACACAAAACAAUAUUUACUCUUACUAUAUAUAAUGUUUUCUCAUAUUUUUACUCUAUUUCAUUUUGGUCACUAAAUUGAUGUCAUGAACCAUGAAUGGGGCUGAGACAUACAGUUGAAAAAAAAAAAAAAACUCGCCUAAACUGAUUUAAGAUGGCUCUAAAAUCACACUGAGUGAUCUGAAUUUGAAUCUUGCUGAAGCAAGAUUCCACUUCCAAGUUAAGUGACCUUGGGCAAUAUGGUUGACUUCUUUAAAGCCUCAGUUUCCCUAUGGGUAAGAUGGGCAUAAUAAUAACAGCGGCCUCAUAACAGUGCUCUGAGAAUCCAGCACUAUGAACAGUGCUUGGCCCAGAGCCUGGCACACAGCAGACACGCAGCAAGCAGCAGCUACGCUGUUACCACCUCCUCCUCGGGCUGCAGCUCCCAGACUCAGCACGGGGCUAUGCACACAGUGGGCAGCUCGCGGGCACACUGAGCCUGCAGCCACUGAGAAAGCAGGCACGUGCCCAGGACCAGCUGAGGCAGUGGGUGCCUUUGGACUUUCCAGGGCAGGGAGGAAGCAGAGAAAGUCCCCAGUGCCCGCUGAAAAGGCAACUUUGUUCCUGGAUUAUAGUAGUUCUCUUCAAUCAUCUUUUUGCCUUUGAAGGGGGAAAGAAGGGUAAAACAACAAAGUCAGGGUCAAAAACUGUCCUGGAACAAGGCUCCCUCUGGAAACCAGGCAUGGAAUGGGCAUGGCACCACACACCAGCACCCCCAAACCCACUCACUGGAGCCACCGCAAGCCGAGGCCUCUGAGUGAGGGGCCCACCAGCCCACGCAGCCUUCUGAAGUUAGAAAAACAUCCUCCGGCCUGAGCCCAUUAGGGAGGCUGUGGCCUGAGGGAAGACAGCCCCAUCCUGCUAACAGGGUCCUUUUAUGCUCUGCCUCUCCCCUCCUCAGGACCCCAGCUCUAUGCUCAAGGCCAGAAGGCUUGGGCAGCCCAGCAGGCCAGCCAAUCCGCUCCAGGGUGACACUAUUUCUUGUGACUGAGAGGUUCUCCUCCCUACCUCUUCCAACCUGACCAGAAAGCUGGAGUCCACAGACACCAGUAACACUUCAUGGAAGACUUGCGGCAAGGAGACAAGGCCUCAUGACGGGAUGCAACAUACAGUGGUACCACCCAGCCCAGCAGGCACUGCCCACUCCCUGCUGCUGCACCACAUAGUUCUGCUCUAACACCUCAGAGACUGGAAUGUGGUUCCAAGUCAGACACCGAGAAGGAGGCUGAACACUUUCUCUGUGCACCAACCCUGCAUGCCUCUUGCCCUUUGCACAUCCCGUGCCUUCUGCCUGGAAUAUUUUUAAUAAACCUUUCCCCACCUAGCUAUUUCCUAUUUAUUCUUUGGGUCUUAACGACUUACGCAUCACUCCCUAAUCUGAAGUAGAAUCCUCCGUUAUUCUCCUUCCCCAUCCUUUUCCUUCACUGCACUUAGCACACUGGUACCACACUGAGCACACAUCCAGGUGAUCACUAGCAAACAACACUGGCAAGCUGCAAAAGAAGGGGUGACAUCUCCUUUAUUCUUUAACUUGCUGAAAUGAACCCAUUUCUACCCUUAAAACAACCCAAUGAGGUAGGAACCAUUACUCUACCCAUUCCACAGAUGUGAAAACUGAGAAUCAGAGAUGAGCCAUCACUUGGCCCAAGGCCACCGAGCUGGGGAGAAGUGCAGCUGGGACUCAGACCCAGGAAGUCUGAUUCUGCAAGUUCUAAGCACACCUCUGGCACCUUCUAUGGGCACAUGCUGGUCUUCAGCAUAAAGUCUCCCAGCCCACAUCUUUGUUUUGUUGUUUGUUUGUUUGUUUGUUUGUUUGAGACAGAGUUUCACUCUUGUCACCCAGGCUGGAGUGCAAUGGCACGAUCUUGGCUCACUGCAACCUCCAUCUCCCGGGUUCAAGGAAUUCUCCUGCUUCAGCCUCCCAAGUAGCUGGGAUUACAGGUGCCUGCCACCAUGCCCGGCUAUUUUUUUUUUCUUUCUUUUCUUUCUUUUUUUUUUUUUUUUUGUAUUUUUAGCAGAGACGGGGUUUCGUCAUGUUGGCCAGGCUGGUCUCAAACUCCUGACCUCAGGUGAUCCACCAACCUCGGCCUCCACCAACCUCGGCCUCCCAUCCCAGCCCACAUCUUUACUUACCCUUCCUGUGCCUCCCACAUUGCUCUCCCACCAGACUGAAAUACACUGUGCACAGCUUCCUGGCAAUGAGCCUUUGCUUGGCCUGCACUCUCUGCCUUGGAUGCAGCCUGCAUCCAGCUCUCCCUGGCUGGGCUAGUGACUCUAAUUUGCUGGGCCUGCCUCCUCAUCUAUGCGAUAGCGGAAUAAUACCUAAGGCAGUUGUGAGGAUUCUACAAGAGAAUGCAUGGAAAGUAUUAGGCACAAUGUUGAGUCCAUAUGAUACUCACUCGUGUGUCCUUUUAUCACUAACAUACUGCUUCUCUACCACCACCACCAUCAGAAUCUUAAAGGUCUAAAUCAGCAAACACAAGCCAGUGUACUAACAGGCCAAAUCCAGUCGUCUGAGUCACCCAAAGAAGGUGUUUUCUAAAAAUUUUAAUUGGUUAACAAUAAUUUUUUAAAUUGGAAAAGUUUCACAUAAAAAUUCAGACAGCUGGAUUUUCUUAAUGAUCAGCCCGUGUGGCAACACCAGGGCCAUAUUCCCACAUGGCAGUGAUUGGCUGGGGUUGAGUGGCACUGCCCCCUUGAGGCAGGGUGUGUGUUCCCCGGGGGCACCCCGGUUCCCACCCCUCUCAGAUGUCUCCCACUGAGCCUGUGGCAUUCAUUCAUAUGACCUCUCUGGCCCCUGUAGGUCCUUAAGUUUCUAACCCCUGAUCUCAGUCUUACCAUUCUUCAAAUCCCUACUCACAUGCCCACUUCCUUCAAAAAAACCCUCCCCAACCUCCACAGCCCUGUGCUUCCCUUAUGGUUUUAUAACUUUAACAGUUAACUUGCACUGAGUACUUCAUGCAAAGAUCCAAAGUAAAAUAUUAGCCUAUCAAAUGCGGUCACAUUUAAAAGAAUAAUCUAUCAUGACAAAGAAUUUCGGAGGGCCAAGAAGGUUGCACUAGGAAAUCCAGCAAUGUAAAUCAAGCAUACAAAUCACACACCACAUUAGCAAAGAAUGAUGCAUUCCAUCUGCAUCCCAACAGCAUGUGACAAAAUUCAAUAAUUAUUCCUGAUUUUACAAAGCUCAGAAAGCCAGGAGUUGAAGGAAGCUUUCUUAAACAAAAAGUAUCAUACUUGGUAGUUAUUAAACAGAGUAUGAGAUUCUAACCAAUGCAAUGAGAUUCUAACCAAUGCAAUAAGAGAAGAAAAAUCGAUGAAAGGCCAUGGGGAGAGCUUAGUUCCACUCUCACAGAGGCAAGAACUAUGUCCUAGUCCUCACAAUUUCCACAACACCCUAAGCACAGCACGUGGGAUAGAUAAAGCAGUCAAAUAUUUGUGGAAUGAAAAACACCCCAGAUGAGUUCUGAUCCCUGGUACAUGUUCUCAAAACAUCCAGUACUUUUUGGAGGCACAUAUCACAACUUAAAUUGCACAACUUGUUUAUGAAAAUAUUUCUGUUUUCCUACAAGAUGGUAAGUUCCAUGAAAUCAAGGCCUUCACUCUAGGUACCAAGCACAGGUGUCCCUGGCCUAAAGCAGGUACUCAAUGCCCACUCCAAGAGACAUGAGGGCCUACUGGAGGGUGCAGGGUGGGAGGAGGCUGAAGAUCUAAAACUACCUGUUGGGUACUGUGCUUAUUACCUGGGGGAUGAAAUAACCUGCACACGAAACUCCCAUGACACACAAUUUACCUGUAGAACAAACCUGUACAUGUACCUUGAACCUAAAAUAAAAGUUAAAAAAUAUAUAUAAGGCUGGGCACAGUGGUUCACGCCUGCAAUCCCAGCACUUUGGGAGGCCAAGGCAGGAGGAUCAUUUGAGGCCAGGAGUUUAAGGCCAGCCUGGGCAACACAGUGAGUCCCUGUCUCUAAAUUUAAAAAAAAAAAAAAAAAAAAAACCCUACUGCAGAUGCAUGAAUGAAUGCACUCAAUAGAUAGUGCUAAAUUAUCAUGAUGUUAUUCUACUUCUCAGCUGGAGAAUCUGAAGCCCAGGCAGGGAGCCUUUGGCUGAGGCCACACCAAUGUGAAGCCCUCUCAGUACCCUGGUGUCCUCUGAAAGGCGUCGGCCACACGCACACGCCACAGCCCAUGUGACUUAACAAGUAAGGAAAGCAAAGCCCAGACCCAUGCCUCAGAGCCCUCUAAACAAACACAUCCAGGACCCACCCCGGCGGGCCAAGCCGCCACCGCUCUGAGGCUGGGGAUGACUUCAGUGCGGAGACCUGAGGCUUUCCUCCCAGAGCCCCACGACUGGUGCCCACAAGGCUAAACAGCUCCCUUCUGCCUUCCCAGGAAGCUAUCAAAGAAUUACUUAUGUCUCUGGAAGUGCUUGUUUAGAAAAGGUUCUCCACCCCACCUGGGCUUGGCAGGAGCGCAGCAUCACCAGGCUGCCCUUCGGAGCUGCUCAGGCUUGCCUCCAGCCCCUGGAGGAGCUCAGCCAUCUUUCACACAGAGAGUCGAAGCCAUGAAGCAGCGGGAAGCUUCCCAGGAUAAACGGAGCAGGGUGACAUCAAAGUCCUCCUUCCAGAUUAAACAACUGAGGCCUUCAACUCUCGCUUGCGUUCCUUCCAGGAUAUUCUGGGCUCCUGCCUCAGUUCUCCCUCCGAUGGAAUGGCAGAUAUUUUGUUUGUGAGAGACUGAAUUUUUUCCUUCCUCAGGGAGAGGGUGGGGGGGAAGGGACGUGGGGAGGGAGAGGAAGAGAAAGAACGUCUGUGAGAGACAAGAGCGGCAAAAAGAACACGUGUGAGUGGGCAAGAGAGAGGGAAGGCAGGGAGGCAGCCAGAAGUGCCUGGUUUGGAAUCCAACAAGUGAUGUGAAAAGUCCAAAAGUGUCUAAAUCCAAGCAUCUUGUGAUUCGCAGCCAUGGGGCUGCAGGACCCCCCAGCUCACCAGUACCGGGGGGCUGCACAUCCUGUCUCGGACAGCCCUGCUCAGCCCACAUGGGGGACCCUCCUUCCAUAGGCACAGGCGCGCUGCAGUUCUGGGGCAUGAUUAGCUCUCUCUGGGGUUUGCUGGUCACUCCCUCUUGUUCCCUGGUCCCUGAAGAGCCUCCUUCUUGAGCAGCAACCUCACCCCACAGGUCCUCCGCAGCCCUGACAGCUAAGCUUCCAGCCCUGCAGCUGACCUCCUCCCCCAACACAACAGCAGGGCCACCAACCCCAACAGGCCAGGUUGAGCCCCCAAGGACCUGUCCAUGACACAGGGGCAGCACGCUCGCUGACUGCCCGCCCUGCUCCACCCAACAUACCUGUCCAGGGGGACAGACAGGUAACUCAGAUGUGCCAAGAGCCACCAAUGCACGAGGCUUUCCACAGACAGUGCCAGGAACCACUUCCAGUUCCCACAGGCUGCAGAGCCAUUUGGAGGCCACAUUCCCUUCUUGAUUACCCGCUUGAUUCCACACAGAAGCCUCCCGGCAAUCCCCAACCCCAUCCUACCAGGGCAGCUUGAGCCUGGGGCCUCGGUCAGCUCUUCCCCCCACCUCCAACUCCUUCCUCCUCUCUCCUCAGCCUCAGCGGCCCAUCCUGCCCCCUCCCUCCCAGAGUGCCUCUGUGUGGUCCUAGGAGUGGGCCUGGGUACUCACUGCUGCUUUGUCCCCUUCAUCAGACUGGAUGCCACAGGAGGGCAGGAACCACAUCUCUCUUAUUCUCCACUGUAUCCCCAGAGCCUGGCCCAGUUAGGGACUUAUUAAUUCAUAAUUAAUAACAAGGCCAAGUGUGGUGGCUCACAUGUGUAAUCCUAGCACUUUGGGAGGCUGAUGUGGGAGGAUGGUUUGAGGCCAGGAGUUCAAUCCAGCCUGGGCAACAAAGCAAGACCCGAUCUCUAUAAAAAAUAAAAAUGAAUUAGCCGGACACAGUGGCGUGCACCUAUAGUCCCAGCUACUCAGGAGGCUGAGGCAGGAGGAUCACUGUGAGGCCACAGUGAGCUAUGACGCCACUGCACCCCAGCCUGGGUGGCAGAGUGAAACUAUGUGUCUAAAAAAUAAUAAUAAUAAACAAAGAAUUAUUGAUAAUAAUUUAUACUAAUUCAUUAAGCUGAGUGCCUAAAAGAAAAAGCCUGGUUCCACCCUUCCACUCCAGACAGAAGGACCUGGGAAAAGAUGGAAUUUGGAAGCAGGAAUUAAAGGAAAGAAGCUGACCAGGGAAGAGGAGCUGGGGAAAAAGGAGGCAGGGAGGGUGACCUAAUCUAUCUUCAUUUCUUUCUUCUUUUUUUGCUGCUGACAGUUCAGCCUUGAUGUUUCCUGCCCUCGCGGGGACAGUUUGAUCCCAGAGUGUACCUGAGCUUCCUGGUACAAACAACAACACUGUCCAUCGAUCCAUCCAUCCCCACCUUCCAACAUCCCCACUGGGCGAGCAGAGGAAACAUCCCCUGAGUUCUAGGACCUUGCAGGACCCACAGCAGGUGCCUCCUGGAUUUGAUUUCCCCCAGGUUUCCUACAAAAAUGUGAAUGAAGAGGGUGCUCUUGGGCUCUAGAGAACAGAAGGCAUGCACAGUCUGGCUCAGGGGCAUCCAGCCUCCUUCCCCAAGAAGAAAAGUCUCAAAGUGAGGACAAGACACUCCUCGAAGCCUCUACCGGAGACCACAUCACAAAGACCCAUUAAAGCGCUAAGAAGAUGACACCCAUGGCCGCCACCCACCCAUCCUGAGGGACCUAUGGAAAACCAGAAGGUCCCCCCACUCCCCAGCACUCUGCCCAGCCCAAGCUCUCCCAGCCUCUGCCUCCCAUCCCCCAGGAGGAAAGACAGUGCCCAGGCUGGGCCAGGCAGCUGGCCCUGGUGCCCAUGAGCAGAGGGGACCCUCCCUGGAGAACUCGAAAAUGCCAGUGAACAAGGCCCAAACACCUCCAUCCUGAGUCCUUCUCCAGCCUUAAAGCAAAUCAUCUUUUAAUCCUGAAACACCAAAUAUUUAAUUUAUGCUCUACCUCAAAUGUCAAGCCCACCUCCCAUCACAUAGCUUUGAAACCACGUAAAGAAGCCUAACACUUUCCAUAUGGCAAAGACAUGGGGCCUUUUAAUUGUGCCAACUGGUAUCAUUCAAGGGUAAUUCCCUUGGAAUCUGGCACUCGGGCAACAGCUGGGCCAGCCUCCAAUCUCAUCACCCAACCCCACACGUCCCCAUGGGCUCCAAGUAAGCCUGCACCCUCCUCAUCUUCUCCAAAUAUCAAAGUGCACUAGGUACCCCCAGUCAAAUUACCAAACUGCCUGGCAGCCGCCUUUGAUCCAGAGGCGGGCUUGCCUGCACCACGGCUCUCAGCCUAUUUCUUCAGGCAGCUCUGCUGUAAAGGAACAAAAGGGCCAACCGGGGCCAUGGGGAGAUUAUUUUAAAUCUGGUUGUACAUAUUCACAAUCAGCCUGUGAGCAUAUACAGAGGCACACAGGUCUUCACCAAGUGUUUCCCACCUGAUACCUGAGUCCACUGCACUAUUUAAUCUAUCUAUUAAGCUUUUUCACUUGUCCAUUCUAUUUUCCACACCCAGUGUUUCCAAUUGGUUUUCUUCUCUAACUGCCUGUUGCUGCUUCAUGUUUCCAGCAUCCUCCGUUUCUCUCUGAGUUUAUGAUGCUUAUUUUGCUUUCUAAUUGUUUAACAUGGUGUUCUUUGCCGCGUGUGCUGAUCAGUUUAUUGCUCCUCUUCCACAGUACUCGUGCGCCUCCCAUUUCUCAUUCCUUUUCUCCUAUGAGUCCAUAUUCCCUUGGACUUGCUCAUGUCCCCAUGGAAAGGGCAAAAGCCCAGCCCUUGGCCUGCGUCCCUCCAAGUGAGCCUGCCAUGACAGUGGGGGAGGCAGAGAGCCUCUAGCAUUCUUAUCCCAGCCCUAUCACUCCCUGUUUGUAGGCCCCCAUCUCCAACCCUACAAAUGUCUUCAGUGAAUCUCCCAGUAGGUUCCCUUCCUUCCCAGGUUCAACAGUUAUAAUCCCAUCAUAACCCGCCAGGGAUGAAAAUAUUAUUACACCCAUUUUGCAGAUGAGCUAAUUAAGGUAUACAAGGGCAAAAUGGUUUGCACAGGUGACAAAUCACUAGGACAGAGCCUGACCUCAUUUAUUUCUGUAUUUAAGAGGGCAGGCUUAGUUUAAUGCCAGCAUGGUCACCCUUUCACAUCUCAGGACCCUGCAGGCAACUUGGACUCAUCUGGGACAUUUCCCAAGCCCCUCAGACCUCAUCAGGAAGGAAGAGGGCAAACAGGGGCCACUCCUGCUUCUGCCUGCCCCACGACUGGCUCAUCUCGAAGCACCCCCUCUCUGGGAGUUUUGUAUGUAGCACCCUCCAGGCGGAUGCCCUGGCACAGGGCUUCUCUACAAAUGGCUUCUCCUAGAAAGUGCUCCAGAAAGGGAGAAACACACAGUCCACACCAGCGGGCUGUCAACACUACAAGGUUAUGGGGAGGAUUAAGAUAAUGUAAGCAAAGUGCUUGACACAUAUAGGCACUUAAUAAAUACUAGUUAUCAUUGCAAUAACAAUAAUACUAGUUGGAUGAGCCACUGUGUCUCCAGCCACUUAGUUGACAGGCCACGUAAAGGACUAGAGGCAGAGACUAGCCCCAAAACAGGCCUGGGGUUGGUGGGAGGACCUCUGCCAGCCCUUGGAAACCAGCAGACUUUGGAGCCCAUGCCCUCCUACAUCCUGAUGAUAUCAUGGAAGAACCUACCAGCUACCCCUUCGGCACCAGAGGGAAUCAGGGAAAUGAACUAGCCUGAGGGUUGCCCAUUGCUGUCCUGUUCAAUAUCUUAGUGCUUCCCAAACUUGGGGCAUUCCAUUCCCACAUUCACAAUUUUGACCACUUGUACUUAAUAUUUUUCUCUGAAUGGACUUCACGUUAGACUCUUUUUUAACUUAGCUUCAUCCUAAGCAAUAAAAUCUGCAAAAUCAUGGGUUUGAUGUCCUAGUUAUUUUUUUUUCUGGUAAAAAAAAAAAGAUAACUAUUAAGAUUUAAAAUGUUCCCCCAGAUUCCACCUGAAAUCACCUGGAGGAUGCCUGGAGUGCUGUUCCACACCCUGGGCUCCCCCUGAAGUUCUGACUCCUUAUCCCUACCUCUGCAGACACACUGGCUGGGCCAUCUGGGGCCAAGGUUGGUGAAAACCCAGGCGUCUGGGUCCCCAGCAGCAAGAACAACUCCCAAGGAGACAGAGGCCGGCCCCCUGCAUAACAACUUUGAUGGCUGCGGCCCACCCUCCAACCACCUGACACAUGUCAUGCCAACGGCUCUGAGCCUCACAUCUUCAAAAGUACUUUGAACAAACAUUAAUGACCUCUCAGCAUUUCUCUGAGAGAGGGGGUGAGGGAGAGAGGGGGACAGGCACCAUCCCAUGCUGUCCUCAGCUGGGGGAAGAAACUAGGCAACAGAAUUCCGUGACUUCACCAAAGCCACAGACUUAAGCUGGGGCCCCCUCCCCACCCUCCCUCACUUCCCCCAAUGGCAACUUUAGUGGCCUGCAUUCCUCUCGCUGGGAACACUACUAUUUAAUUAAAAACGACAGACUUUUGUUUUCCUCUCCCUCUUUCCUCCUCCCUCCCAUCCUCCCAGACUGGAUGCCAAGGAGACCCACCAAAAACAUGCGGGUAACAUUUGUUAUGGCUUUGAAGAUAAAAGUCAAUUGAAGUAAGCCCUCGCUGUAUUUCAAGUUUUCCCUCUAGCAUGGAGCAAGCUGCCUGGCAGUUUAGAAAAAAAAGAAAAGAAAAAGAAAAAGGAGGGACUGCAAAUAAAUGUCAUUCUGCAGGAAUACUUUGUAAAAAUAAACAGGCUGAAAAAACCCAAAACUUGAUUAAUGGAAAUCCACUCAGUUGGCCUCUGUCUGGAGCUGUAAAUGCAUUUGUUCAUACGGCUAAAUUAGACCGUUUUCGUUGGCCUUUAAAUAAAUAAGUAGAUCAAAAACUAGAAAGGGCAGGGGAAGAAGGAGAGGUUUGUAGUUCUCUUUUUAAAGGGCCCCAACUGCAGUGCCCCCCGCCCACCAAGAUUUGACCUUUACUAGGGGACAGCAGCUCCAAGUCCGACCCGGCCAACAGAAGACAGAGAAGCCCCCAGCUAAGCAGUGGCGGUGGAGGAGGACAGGGGAGCUUCUCCUAGGCCCAGAGGUUAUUUCAUCCACACACAGGAACUGACUUUAUCCACAGGUCCACCUCCCGACACCAGCACUGCAAGCGAGCUGCCAGGUCCCACCACCCAAAUACAAACACAUCUGAAGUCUCCACUGGCCUCUCCCCAGCCCAUGGAUAAGACCAAAGAACUAACCAGACCUGAGACUCAGUCUAUUCCCCCUCUAAGUUAAAAAAAAAAAAAAAAAUUAAAUGUCACAUCAAAAAGUUGAUUCAUCCUUUGAUCCUAGGCUUGCGCGAGUUCCACGCAGACUGCCUGAAAGCCCCGUGCAGAGUUCCGGAGCUCACAGGACAUCUGUGAACGCCAAGUCCCAGGCCAGGAGCUGGGGCUGGACUCACUCAUUCCCAUCACACUUAGUGCUCCUCCAGGAACUCCAGCCUCAGAGACACACGGGGUGAAGGCUCAGGGCUCUGCCCAGGCUACAGUGGAAUGAGGCCCUCUAUCUCAUAUGCCAAGUAAGGGGUCUUCCAGGUCUCAGUCCCCCUAGAUCUGCUACCCAGAGGGCCGCCUGCUCUACUGGGGUUCCUGUACAGGUGGUACUGAUGAAUGCCACAGACAAUCAGAACAUAUUCAGAUCCUGGGGCCAGCACAGCUCUGCCUUCCACCCAGACACCCCUAAUACCCCCUUCUCUCUAGCCCCUACUCCACCUCCACCUUUGAAUGCUGGUGGCAGAAACAAGGUAGAAGUCAGAGCAGGCCCCCAAAUCCCGCCGGUACAGACACGAUUCCCCAUCAACUGGACCUUCACCACCUCCCCACCUAGGACCUUUCCCCCAGGCAGCCCUCUGCCUCCAGCUGGGCACUUCGAGGUUCUCCAAGGCAUGCGGGCAGAGGGUCGCGUUGGUGGGGCAGGGGGCAGCUGAGAAGAGAUUUUCAGACCCAGAAGCUGUGCAGGAAAGUGCUCAAAGUUGGGGUGCAUGGGUUUGGGGACCCAUCUCUGAGGCUGAAAGGAGGCCAGGAGGUGGGGCAGGGGUGGGGAAUCAUACCCGGGUGCUUCGGCCUAUGGUGCCCGCCAACCGCAGCUGUCGGGGUCCCGAGACACCGCCCGGGCAGCGCUGUCUCCCGAUCCACUCCUCGAUGCCCUUCCGAGCCCAGGCAGCGCUCACGGCGAAGCUGUCACCUGGGACGGGGACGACAUGAAGCCCCUGAGUCUGGCUCCAGGUGCCAAAAGUUACCCCCGCGGAGGGAAGAAGGAGGCGCGGUGGGAGGCGAAGGACCACGGCACGGGGGCCAGGAGGGGGUUCGCGGGCUGGGGCAGGAGCCAAGAGAGGGACGCGGGUAAGUAAAGGGGGGUUCAGCGAAGCCCUAGGAGCGAGGAGCCAGAAGGGGGCAAGAGGGGUGAGCAGUACCCCAGGAGGACGGGUUUAGGAUCAGACCAGGGAGCACUGGCAGCCAGGACUGCGGAGGAGAGGGCUGGGGGUCAGGAGAGGGGCCGCAGUAGGUGCAGGAGCCAGGAUAUCGGAAGAAGGGCCGGGGGGCAGGAAGAGGGGGCAGGGUCUUGCGGGGAGGCGCUUGGGGGUCUGAAGAGAGGGUGCCGUGAGAGCCGAGGGCAGGGACGCGGGAGGGGGAGGGGUUGAGGGUCAGCGGUGGGAGCGCAGGACCGCGGGGAGCGGGUAGGAGGGACAGAGGAGGGGGCGCGAAGGCUGCUCAGGGAGCGGGCUUGGGGGGCCGGUGGCCGGAACUGGGGCUUCGGGGUGGCCCUGGUCAUAAGACCUGGCGGGCUGGGCCGUUCUGCCGCGGCCGCGGUGUCCCCCGCGUCCAUCCCCGAGGUCUGCGCCCCGCGCGCCCCUACCUUCCGGGCUCUCCCUGCGCUUGCACACGGCGGCUGCAGGCACAUCGCGAGGCGGCGGCGGCGGCGGCAGCCGCGGCGGCGGGAGAAGGAAAGAAAGGAAGGGAGAGAGUUAGCGACCGCGGCGGCGACGGCGGCGGGGCCCGGGGCGAGCGCGCGGGCGGGGGCACUGACCCGGCUUGGAGUGAAGUUUCCCCAUGCUGGGGCUGCGGCGGCCGGGAGCGUCCCUAAGCCAUGCGCCCGGC